rnacentral:lncRNA from 1 species
UGCCCAGGUCAUACACGAUUAUUCAUCAGGUUGGACACAAGCUAAGCUGCUUUCCUUCUGGAGAGUAAUUUGAAAAACUGUUCAAAGGCAGGGUAGAAUGAUCAUCCUUCGUGAUACACUAAACUGGAAACAAAAAACUCAGCUCGAUGCAUUUACAUGGACAGAAAUCGAAGUAUGUAACGGGUGAAGCUACCAUCAUGCCUCCAGGUCGUUCAGGUUUCUCGGAACUUUGACAAAAAGUUUUGAAACGAAGAGAAACCUUCCAUCGCAUCGUGCGGCAUGUUAAGCGUGAAAGGGGGAAGAACACUCGGACCAGCCUUCAGGUUCUUCGGGCCAGCGGCUGACGGUAGCGCAAGUGCAGGCUGCUGUCUGUUGAGCUUUUCUAUGAUGUACGAGAAAGUUCCAAAAGCCAGGCAGCUCUGAAUCAGAGUUUGCGGUGCACCUGCAACAGACAGCAGAAAAUAUGGUACUGAGGUGAUCGAUACAUAUGAAGCAGUUUAUUUAUGCUACAGGAGCAAAAAUAGAAACAUUAACUCCUGCCCCACUCCCUACAAAAAGCAAAGAGAGAAGUUGUAUUCUCAGCACAAAUGAUGAUCCAAACUAACCCCUUUGAUUAUACGAUUUUGGUUAGUAGAAUCUACAUUUCUACGAUCCUAAUAGUUAAGAUUCUACCACUGGUGAUCACUGGUGGAGCUACAGUGGAUUUCUUGGGCGGCCCAACCUGAAGAAGAAACCAUAAGAGAUGGGCCAGGCCACUUGGCAAGCUAGUUAGGCAGUUUUUCAGCUAGGCAGGGCGGGCCAGAGCACAGGUUCGCCCCAACGUAGCUCUGAUCCGAUUCAAAAUAACGAUUUUGACAACCUUGUCGAGCGACCAAGCGGAACGCUCGUUUCAGCAUCUCUCCCUCUCUCGAUCCGCGACGACGGCAAAGCACUCCCACCUCUCCCUCUCCGGCAACGGCUGUCCUAGCCUCCCCCCACUUCUGUCCUCUGAUGGCAUGCAGCAGCAGCGGGCAGCCAGGUACAAGCUGGGUGACGAUCAAGCAGCUGGACGGCGGCUGUAGCGGACAGCUUGGGCAGAGCGGAGGCAGUAGAAGGAGCAGAAGGAGCAGCAGCUCAUGGGCUGUGGCUGGUAGUUGCAGGUGGCGGCCUCACAUGCUGGGCGGCGGCCAGGCGCUGCACGUCUCGAUUUGUUGAGCGACACAACAUGAGGAAUUGGCAGGCGGUGGCUACACCACAGAAGAGCAGGCUCUGCUCCAUUGUCCACUCUCCCUUGUGCGUUUGCUAGACUAGUGAUAAUCACCUAAAUGGAAAUUGUACAUGCUUUUUCUUGCCUUUUGCAACUACAGAAAAUUUGUGCAUGUUGUGGACCAUUUAUUGAUGAUUCUUUCUAAAUUUGUUAGUAAAAUAUGAUUGUGUAAGACUAUUGAUGUUAUUUAUUUGACAUGAUUGUGAUGCAAAAUAUAAAUUAUUGGUGAACAAAAAAUAAAUAAAACAUUGUUUUGAAAUUAAAUAAAGUGAUUCCGAAAAUACAAUUAAUGUUGCAUAUAUAGCCAGAAAAGCAAAACACUAAUCUGAACAUUUCUCAUUAUUCCAUUCCAUCAACCAAACACUGAGAUGUAACUGUUUCAUUCCACCUCAUUAUUCAUACGAAACACAAAGAUGGAACCAUUACAUUCCAUUCCACUUGGUUCUUCAACCAAACACACCCUCAGUGUCUUUGGCGGCACGGCUGGCUUCUGGGCGAUAGGGCAUGCUCGUGGCGGCCAUGGCGGCGACCUAUGUUNGAUAUGGCGUCCAGCGGAGGCUAGCGGCGCGUGUCGAUGGCUUCUGUUGUGCCUAAGACGGCAAUGGCUGGCGACAAUGGUGGCCCAACAGUGCUCGGUCACGACAGCUGCCAAGGCUUCGCCUUUCUCUAUGGGCACGUAGGGCGUGUGAGAUGGUGGCCCUAGGCAGGUUACGGUGGGGGUGGCGACAGUGUGGGGUCCUAAAGGAGGAUGCGGCCGGCGAUGCCGAGGCUGCCCGAAGACCGAAAGUGUCGGUUCCUGGGCAGCUCCCUAUUGAGAUCUGGAGGAGCCAAAUCUUGAAGGAGCACUAGCUGCCGAUCCGUCCAGAGGUUUUGCAGGCAGGUGGCUGGCGCGCGAGCCGAGGUGCAGGGUUUGGGUAUCCCACCCCCCUCAUGGACGGGCAGUUCGUUGGGCAGCCAUGGCGGCGGUGCUGCCCGGCUAUGGCCGUUGGCCUUGUGGUGGGACCCCGAGGGCAGGUGUCUUCUUCCCUUCGGUCGGCGACGGCCACAUGCUAUGCCGUCGGUGAGAGGUUCGGAUAGGGAUGUCGAGGCGGUGGCCUCAGGUGGCGGGCUACUCGAUAGGCUCUCGACGGGUGUACGGGUGUACGGGUGGCACAGUGGUGGUUGUGCUUCUUGGUCAUGUGGGUGGCGAGAGGUGUUGUGGUGGGUGGCAUUGGUGUCUUCUCUGUUGUGGCAGCGAAGGUGCGCAGAUCUGGUCAUGGAGAUCCCGGCUUCGUAGCAGCGGUUGACUUCGUUACUUCUUUGUGGCUCAGGGUAACAACCGGGUGAAAGCUCUGCGCUUCGUCCCCGGCAGAGACGGCGUCCAUGGGUGCUACUUUCCUCUUGAGGAUGUUGUCGCAGUUUCCCCUACCAGGUUUCUGAGUGAAAACAUUUGUUUGUUCCGUCGGCAACGGCGAUGAAUUGUGCCAUUUCCCUCUUGAGAGUGCCUUAUCUUUGGUUGUGGCGUGGUGUUGUCUUCACGCCCUUUUGUAUUCUUGCUCAUCUUCGUCGUGUCUUCCCAUCCGAUGUGUGUUGUCCAUUUUUUUUUCUAUUUUCUACUUUGUUUGAGGGCUUCCUCACCAUCAUGUAUCGUUCAACCAUGUACUUGUGGUUCGUGCUUUACCAUCCAUGCCAGCAAUUGUGCAUCCAUAAAUGGAACCAAGGGGGUAAGGCAAAUCAAGGAGACAAAAUAAAAAUCUAUGACAUCAAAACUGUAAGAACUAAGAAAAUGUGUCAUGUAACACCAAACUAAUUCGGAAAUCAUUAGCAAUAUGCGGUAAACCACAAGAGAGUACAGAAGCAAGUGUACAACUGAUGGAGAACUCAAAACGAUCAACUUUUUAGCCAUAAAACUUGCAACUGAUGCCAGAUAUCUAACCAUGACCUAAAAGGCUAUGCGUGCUUUCAAAACAAAUCACAAGUCCAGAAACCACCAUGACACUAGCACACGUUUGCAGCCAACACUGGGGUUGCCAACCAGGUAAAUUUUUUAUCCAAAUAACCUACACUAGGCAACUAGAAUAAUACAGGCAAAUCAUUUUCACUCUUACUGUUAAACUACAUUAAACUAUGUCAAAACCAUGGUCUUUGGGCAAGGUAUCCAGGAACAACGUUAAAUUUAGAUAGUUCCAGCUAUUAAUUGCAUUGCUAUAACUUUACCUGGAAAACUCAAAGCAAGGCCAGUGCAACAGCCUGCAACUCCUGCAUUAAUAACUGUAGACAAAAGAUCCACAAGUCAAUGGUCAUCCUUGUCAUUUUAUACACCCUAAGUACUUCAAAAAAGGUAGCAGAAUAGCAGCACAAUCUUAAAGGGGGCAUCAAAGACAGACCGUCAUCUUUUCCACGUAGCUUUCUCAAAGAGCAAGAAACCAAACUUUGAACGCCGGCAAGAACAGCAAAUAUCUAGAACAACAGACAAAAUUCUCAAUGUGAUGGUUAACAGAGAAAAGUCUAUUCCAAACGAAAUGAACAUUGGUAUCCAAUUAAUGAAAUAUGUAUCAUCAUACCUUAGCAGAAGAGGCAGCGUCAGCAAAUGAGCCUUUAAACCCUUUUGUGGUAACCAAACCUUUUCCUAAAAAAUCACCAGAUAUAGUUAACAUAACAAAGAGAUAAUUGUUGUGUUUUGAAUAGAAGGAUGACACACAGCAGGGCAGCCUGACAUAACGUAUACCAAACAAAAAUAUUGUGCACAAUGAACACACAAGGCUGAACCAAUUCAAAUUUACAGGUAGCAUUAAAUGAUUGAAUUGAUUUGACAUGACCACCAGAUCCACUACCAUAUUCCAUAAAAGAUCUACAUUGUUAUAUUCAAGGUGGUAAUGGACGUAACCAGAUAGGCUAUUUUUGUUAUCCGCAAAUUAAGGUGGCAUUUAGUUGGUGAUUGGUUCACUUUGCCUCAGCCUGACUGUCAGUGGUGGAGUGCACAAAGCAGCAAUUGGUUUCUUUAUACAAAAUUAGAGCAGUGAUUAAGUAUCACCCAUGCAUGUUGAGCAACUUAACAUGAUAACAGACACCGCGAAGCUCCAUACGUGCCUCCUUUACUAAGAAAGACCCUGCAUGAGAAUGCAAUGUCGGGAGCAUCUAAUCUACCAAUUAAUCACCAGGUCUAGGUAAAACAGAUUUGACAAUUGACAUGCUUUGGAUUUUGGGCAUCCAAAAACUUCUUUGGAUGACAAUGAGACGCAAAAUCCAAAAAUUGGAUUCUAAAAUUAGGCGUAUGCUUGAACCUAUUUCUGUGCCAAACCACUGGUAACAGAUUAGCAACCAAGAACGGAGCUAGGUGUGUAACUCCAUUGUCUCUUUGUGUGUUGCUUUUACUUUAGUUCUUAGUCCACAACAGGUUGUAUGAACACACCACAAACACACAGUAAACAUACGAGUUGAGUAUGUUUGUAUGAGCCAAAAGAAAGUUCUCUACCAAAUUUUCUGAGAAAACCCGCACAUGUUCUGUAACAUUUUCUUUCAUUUGGCAGCAUUAGCAAGUAAUUUCCCCCCCCCCAUUUUAUCCUUUUGCAAGGAAUAAACACACACUGCAGCUUCCAGAUAGGUACGUAUGCAUGCAGUCAGGCCUUGAAUCAAGUAAACGGAGCAAAAACAAUUUGGUUUUACCAACAUUUCUGAGAAACUUCGCACAUGUUUCAAUCUCAGUAAGCACGUGCUUUUUCACGAGGAAUAAUUAUGCGGUUAACUGUAAAAUCCAUCAAUAAUCUGCUCCAUAAUCCUUGGUGCCAGUGUCACACAAAUUAAACAAAAUUGCUACAAGUUCAACUAUCCUGAAUAUGUAACUGUAAUCAGCUGCAUGAAACCCAAACAACACACCAUGUGCUGCAAUUGAGCCUUAUCUCCUAAAUGUCCUCAACACUGGCACAGUAUACUGCGAAUCUAACAAAGAAAAACCAUAAUCAAUGCCUUAUGAAUGACACUACCCAUAGACCGUGUGAACAAUCAGUACUAAGAGCUCAAUUGCACACCCCAGAUUAGACGAACACCUUAAGACACAACCUUAUGGAAUAUAAUCAAAUCUGAUCUCCUGCCAGUCAAAAACCUUAUCAAAUUACGAGAGGCCUAAAAUAGAAAGGGAGCCAGCCAGGACCAAAGAUCGCAGAGCCCUAACCCUAACGGACGUGUCGAGCCGAACGAGGAGGUGGAGGGGACGGCGGUGUUACCAUAUCCAACGACGGCUCCGACGAGGGAACCGGCGGCCGACUCCCAGGCGAAGCGGAGGAGGCAGACCCCAGGNNNNNNNNNNNNNNNNNNNNNNNNNNNNNNNNNNNNNNNNNNNNNNNNNNNNNNNNNNNNNNNNNNNNNNNNNNNNNNNNNNNNNNNNNNNNNNNNNNNNNNNNNNNNNNNNNNNNNNNNNNNNNNNNNNNNNNNNNNNNNNNNNNNNNNNNNNNNNNNNNNNNNNNNNNNNNNNNNNNNNNNNNNNNNNNNNNNNNNNNNNNNNNNNNNNNNNNNNNNNNNNNNNNNNNNNNNNNNNNNNNNNNNNNNNNNNGACUUCAAUGAUUGCCGUAAAAGAUAGCGCGUGAGAGCCCCAUACCUGACCAAACGAGCCGGCCCGACACGGCCCAUGGUAAUCGGGCCUGGCACGGCACGGCCCGUCCAGGCACGUUUAUUAAUCGGGUCGUGUCGUGUCAGCCCGUGGGCUGCGCCUCUAGGCCUGUAAGAUUUGAGAGAGAGAGGUUUUGGAUCAGCACACUUUAUUCAAUCUAAACCAUGAUGUCUAACAGAAAACCCUAAGGAGGUAGUCAGCGGCAGCAAUCGUGCGAGGUGGGUUAGUGCUGGGUUAUCGAUUCCGAGGCAUGCGGACGUGCAUGCGUGCUGGGUCAUCGCCAUGCAUGGGCUUGCUUGAGGGCCAAGUCGGCCGACGCCAUGGGCUGUAGUGAGGUCUAUUCCAAAACCACCCCUCCCCCCCCCCGCCCGCAGUCGAUGCCUCGCUGUCGGAGAUGCAUAGACCGGAGCGGAAUUCCCGAAACAUCGACGGUGGAAGCCCCUUGGUCAUGACGUCGGCGAACUGUUGAGCCGUAGGUACGUGAAGAACACGGACAUGCCCCAGCGCCACCUUCUCGCGGACGAAAUGGAUGUCGAGCUCGAUGUGCUUGGUGCGACGGUGAUGGAUGGCAGAGAGGUACACCGCCGAGACAUUGUCGCAGUAGACUACCGUGGCUUUGGCGACGCCGCAUUGUAGCUCAGUUAAGAGCUGACGCAGCCACGAGCACUCGGCAACCGCAUUGGCAACGGCAGGGUACUCGGCCUCCGCGCUAGAGCGGGACACGGUGGGUUGCCGUUUGGACGACCACGACACCAGCGAAGGCCCCAUGUAGAUGCAGUAGCCAGAGGUGGAGCGGCGAGUGUCGGGGCAGCCGACCCAGUCGGCGUCGGAGUAGGCGACGAUGUCGAGCGACGAGGAGGCGCAGAGAGAGAGCCCAAGCGAGGGCGACCCGUGGAUGUACCUCAAGAUGCGCUUCACCAAUGUCCGGUGAACGUCACACGGAGCAUGCAUUGUGGAGGCAGACUUGUUGCACCGCGUACUCGAGAUCGGGCCUCGUCAGUGUCAGGUACUGGAGGGCGCCGACGAUGCUGCGGUAGAAGGAGGCAUCGGAGAAGGGGACGCCAGCCUGCCCUAAGACCUUGCCCGAGGUGUCGAUGGGGGUAGAUGCUGGCUUACAGUUGAUCAUGCCGGCGCAGUCCAGCAGUUCGAGGGCGUACUUCUUCUGGCAGAGGAAGAAGCCAUCGGAGCGGCGCGUGACCUCCACGCCCAGGAAGUAAUGGAGCGCGCCAAGGUCCUUCAGGGCGAACUCGCAUUGAAGGAGACCGACGACGCGACGGAGGAGAGCGUCGGUGGAGGCCGUCAAGACAAUGUCAUCGACGUACAGCAGAAGGUACACCAUGUCAGUGCCACGGCGGUAGACGAACAACGAUGCGUCGGACCUGGUGAUGACGAAGCCGACACGGACCAGGAACGCGGUAAUGCGUUGGUACCAGGCGCAGGGAGCGUGCUUGAUGCCGUAGAGGGACCGAGAGAGCAGGCAGACGUCGUCGGGGCGCGCAGGGUCGACGAAGCCAGCCGGCUGCUGGCAGAAAACUUGCUCCGUCAGGUGCCCGUGCAAGAAGGCGUUGGAGACGUCGAGUUGAUGGACGACCCAGCGGCGCGAGUAGGCGAGCUGAAGGACACAAUGACUCGUGCCCGGCUUCACGACGGGGGCGAAAGUCUCGGUGAAGUCGUGUCACGCCCAAGAUGCGACCCUAUCCUCAAUUUGGCACGAGGGCCUCGUCAGGGAUAGAAGCGCAUCUCGUCGUGUCGCAAGAAUGGAUAUCGUUACAAGUACAUGUACUAAAAGGAAGAGAUAUAUAAUAGAAUUGGCUUACACUUGCCACAAGCUACAUCAGAGUCACAUCAGUACAUUACAUAUUCAUCAUGAAGAAGAGCAGGGUCCGACUACGGACGAAAACAAACGAGAAAAGAAGAACGGCGUCCAUCCUUGCUACCCCAGGUUGCCGGCCUGGAACCCAUCCUAGAUCGAUGAAGAAGNNNNNNNNNNNNNNNNNNNNNNNNNNNNNNNNNNNNNNNNNNNNNNNNNNNNCCUUUACCUGUAUCUGCAACUGGUGUUGUAGUAAUCUGUGAGCCACAUGGGACUCAGCAAUCUCAUUUCCAAAGGUAUCAAGACUAGCAAAGCUUAAUGGGUGAGGUAAGGUUAAGUGGUGAGGUUGCAGCAGCGGAUAAGCAUAUAUUUGGUGCCUAAACUUACGAGUACAAGAAAUAAGAGGGGGAAGAUCUACGCAUAACGGACGUGAACUACUGGUGAUCAAAGGAAUGAUCCUGAGCACCUACCUACGUCAGACAUAACCCCACCGUGUCCUCGAUCGGAGUAAGAACUCACGAAAGAGACAGUCACGGUUACGCACCUAGUUGGCAUGUUUUAAUUAAGUUAUCUUCAAGUUAUCUAGAACCAGUGUUAAACAAAGCUUCCACGUUGCCACAUAACCGCGGGCACGGCUUUCGGAAAGAUUCAACCCUGCAGGGGUGCUCCAACUAGUCCAUCACAAAUUACCACAAGCCGCAUAGAAAUCCUCAAUCACGAAGCUCGCGAUCUCGUCGGAUUUCCUAGUGGAAAACCUCAACUCUGAGAUUACCCAAAGCAUCACCGGAAUCCCGAUGCACAAGAUAUCUCGUCAAAGGUAAAACUAAUCCAGCAAGGCCACCCGCGCGUGUCGACGAUCCCGAUAGGAGCCGCGUAUCUCGUUCUCAGGACACGAUGGAUGAGCGACGCGUACGGUGGCCUGAUAGAAAUCACCCAAGUUUCCCUGGGUUGGCCCCGCACAGUGCUCUGUUUUGGACCAGCACCAUCAGCACUGGCCCUCCCUGUAUUAUGUAGAAUUACUCCUCGGGUUCAUGACGCCCUAUGCUUUCAGUAUUAACAAAAUUAUUAUGUUGGGAAAAUGUAGUACCAAUGUUGGGCCUUGCCAGACCAGCUUUAAUCUAAAACGAAUUAUCAAGGGGGUCCCCAUAACAACCCCCAUCGUGUUAGGAGCGCUCAAUUAUGGAACAUAACACCGGUAGCCGAAACUAAGGGGGCAAAGGUGGAACAAAACACCAGGCUAGAAAGGCCGAGCCUUCCACCUUUUACCAAGUAUAUAGGUCCAUUAAAUUAAAUAGCAUUAAUAUGGUGAUAUGACAAGGAACUCAUGUUUUCACAUGGAAGCAACUACACCUGCAACUAGCAACGCUAACAACAUGGUUAAGCAAGCAGUAGCAUAGCCAAUCAGUGGUUUGCUAGGUUGAACAAGUUGAAGGUUUCAUGGCAUUGUUGAGAGGCUGAUAUUUAACAUGUGGUAGGCAACGAGACAUAAUCGAUAGAAGCGGUAAAACUAGCAUGGCAAUGAUAGUAAUGGUAUCCGGGGAAAUGGUCAUCUUGCCUGAGAUCCCACUUGGAAGAAGAACAACUCCGUGAAGUCGGCGAACCAAUGUGGUCAGACGGGUCCUCACAUUCCGACACGCUUGCGGAACUCUAUUGAGACGGAGCAAACCGGAAACAAACAUCAACACAGAUAUUCACCACACGAUGCACAACAUGAUGCAUACCCAAUAUGAUGCAUGGACGCCCAACCCCUAAUGAUGCACUUAAACCAUCCUACAUCGGUAAACAGGUGCCACAUCAUCAUGAAGUGACACCUCAGCAGGACUGCCCAAAACUGGAAACUACUAACUCCAUUGGAUUCCUUGGGUUCUCCUCCCCCAAAUCUAUAUACUACACUCCUAUAUAUGCAUGCAGAAAAACACCAGAAACAGCAAAGGAAAAACUACACAAGAUCAAACUCUGCUAACAACAAGAACAGGGGUUGUUCUUGAUAUGCCAGAUUUGGCAUAUACCUCUUCUGAAAUAUCCAGAUAUGGAAAUACAUCACAACACCAAUCAACAAAAUUAUAUAAUCGUCAGGGGGUCCCACUGGUCAUACUCACCAGGGCCCCUAGUAAGGCAUGUGGGCUCUGGACCCACUGACAGAGGCACACUACAACAAGCAACUAAAAACACAAGGGAAAAAACUAACAUGGGAGUAGGGGGACUCGAACCCACUACCUUCUUGCAAGACAACAGGGCAAUCACCACUGAGCUAGGCUCGGAUCACUGCCCUAACAAGGGGAGUAACCCACCUAUGCUACACGUGCAGACAACGCAACAAAUUGAAACAAAAACCCAAAUAAGAGGACGCGCGAGGGGCUCGAACCCUCGACCUACUGGCGCUGCAGUGGCUCGGUUGCCACUACGAUGGUGAAGUAUAACUGCUAGAACAAGGGAAGAAAUGCACAUAUGCAGGCUCUGCUAGCUAGCACAGGAGAACAAAAAUCGUAGAGAAUAAAAGGGGGGCGCUGGGUCUCGAACCCGAGACGUUGAGAACGAAAACAUGCUCGAUGCCACUGCGCUACCGUGGGGAUUCUGCCUAAGAAGGGAGCAAAGCAGAUCUAAAAGAAAACAUGGGGCGUCGCUGGAGCAGGGAGACGCCGGCGACGACGACGCGCGCCAGAGCCACUCGCCUGCAGGCGCAUACGACGCACAACCACGCGAUGCGCUACGUCCCUCGCGUCACUACAUAGCAGGCGCGGAACCUACGCCUAUAAGACGCAUGCACGCAGAGCUGCGGAAACUAGCGCAUCCUGCCGGUGCAACUCCGACAGGGCGGCGCCCACGCGCAACAUCGGCGACCUACUGCAGAGAGGGAAACGAAGGGGGGAUAGAGCUGCGCUCACCCAGGGUGCAGAGAGAGGGCUCGCGGGAGGGGAGACACGCCGCGCGACGACGUCCUGCUGCAGAGAACUCGUCGGAGAGGAAGAAGGACCAUCCGCCGAGGAGGUCGAGGCCGUCGUCCUUGGCGCUAGCUGCCCGUGGGAAUGGAACUCCAUGGGCGCCCGCGAGCUCCUGGUCCAGGAGGGGGAAGAAGGGGGCGUCGGGCUACCACGCAUCAGGCACUUGCCCGAGCCGGCCAUGGUGCGGUGGAGCUCGGGAACUCGCCCCGACGGCGCUAGGAGGGANGACGAGGGUUAGGGUUUCAGAGAGUCCGAGGCUGCUAAGUAUCUCGCACCACCCGCUCGGGGCCGUCUGAUCGAGGGAAGAAACGAUCUAUGGUGGUCAGGGGGUUCGUACGUGCUGACAUGAUCGAGGAGGAAGAAGCUGCCGCCAGCCAGGCCUGGGCUGAUUGCACUCACCUGGGCCUGGUGCUCCCUCUCUCACUGAGAAGGCCUACCUAAUAAAACAUUACAGCGAAAAUCAAACCACACGGGCUAAAGGAAAAUAGUUUUGGUGGAAACAAAAAUAUAACUGGGCUUUUAAAAUGUUGCCACUGUUUAUAAAAAUAAGUGGAACAUUUUUAGAAGUCCAAAAUUAUAUUCAUCUAAUUUAAAUGGGCUUUGAUUUUUUAAAUAAGAUAAGAAGGAAAGUAAAGUAGAAACCAGAGGGGUUGCCUCCACAAAAUGAAAAGGAUUUUUUUUAGGGAAAGAUGAACAUUUUUUUAAAUGGAGAAACAAAGCCUUUUAAACCUGCCACAAAUUAACAUAGAGAGAGAAGGGUUUUCUCCUUAUGGAGCAACAUGUGGGUUUUGACAUGCACUUGUUGCCCCCACACCUAAACAAUCACUAAGGACAUCAACACAACACUUGCACAUCACAACAAGGACACCCACAUCAACACAACCACAACAAAAGGGAAAGAAUGCAAUGCAAGAAGGCAUGAUGCACAUGAAAUGAUGACACAAAGUUAGGCUCACCCCACAUCACACCAACAUGCCAAGGUUGCCAUACAAGGAGGAUACAAAAGGGGAGGGGAGAUUGCACUUGGGCUGUCACAAGUCGAGACCAGCCCGUUGCCGGAAGCCGCGAACGACCCAGCUGCCAGGUGCGAUUCCUCAGUAGCGCGUCGUACUCGUCUUGCAUGACGGCGCGCCAGUGAGGGUCCCGGAGCGCCGAGUGGACGGACGCAGGGAGCGGCGAAGGAGCCGUCGUGGUGGCAGUGCAGACGUACUCGUUGGAGGAGUACCUCUGGCUGGGUCGAUGGACACCCGCGCGCGCACGGGUAAGCACUCCGAAGUGUACGGGGGCAGCAGGUGGGGCAGUUGAGGGAGAGGCCGGCCCCGUACUGGGCACGGGGGCAGCAGGUGGUGGAGGCGUCGUGCCGACAGGAGCGGGGCCCGGUGGUGCAGGAGACGGGGCCGAGACGCCCGGGGCAACUAGCGGAGAAGNNNNNNNNNNNNNNNNNNNNNNNNNNNNNNNNNNNNNNNNNNNNNNNNNNNNNNNNNNNNNNNNNNNNNNNNNNNNNNNNNNNNNNNNNNNNNNNNNNNNNNNNNNNNNNNNNNNNNNNNNNNNNNNNNNNNNNNNNNNNNNNNNNNNNNNNNNNNNNNNNNNNNNNNNNNNNNNNNNNNNNNNNNNNNNNNNNNNNNNNNNNNNNNNNNNNNNNNNNNNNNNNNNNNNNNNNNNNNNNNNNNNNNNNNNNNNNNNNNNNNNNNNNNNNNNNNNNNNNNNNNNNNNNNNNNNNNNNNNNNNNNNNNNNNNNNNNNNNNNNNNNNNNNNNNNNNNNNNNNNNNNNNNNNNNNNNNNNNNNNNNNNNNNNNNNNNNNNNNNNNNNNNNNNNNNNNNNNNNNNNNNNNNNNNNNNNNNNNNNNNNNNNNNNNNNNNNNNNNNNNNNNNNNNNNNNNNNNNNNNNNNNNNNNNNNNNNNNNNNNNNNNNNNNNNNNNNNNNNNNNNNNNNNNNNNNNNNNNNNNNNNNNNNNNNNNNNNNNNNNNNNNNNNNNNNNNNNNNNNNNNNNNNNNNNNNNNNNNNNNNNNNNNNNNNNNNNNNNNNNNNNNNNNNNNNNNNNNNNNNNNNNNNNNNNNNNNNNNNNNNNNNNNNNNNNNNNNNNNNNNNNNNNNNNNNNNNNNNNNNNNNNNNNNNNNNNNNNNNNNNNNNNNNNNNNNNNNNNNNNNNNNNNNNNNNNNNNNNNNNNNNNNNNNNNNNNNNNNNNNNNNNNNNNNNNNNNNNNNNNNNNNNNNNNNNNNNNNNNNNNNNNNNNNNNNNNNNNNNNNNNGGAGGCGAGCUGGAGACCUGUUGAAAGGGAAAAACAUACUCGUCAAAGUACACGUACCUGGAGAUGAGAACUCGCCCAGAUGCCGGAUCGAAGCAACGGAAACCCUUGGUAUUGGGGGGGGGGUAGCCGAAGAAUACGCAGAGAAUAGACUGGGGGCGAGUUUAUGUGGAGAAGUAGCGAGAAGAUUAGGAUAACAGAGGCAACCAAACACCCGGAGGUUGUCGUAGGAGGGUUGGUGACCAAAGAAGAGGUGAUCGGGAGUGAAUUGGCCACGAGCACGGUAGGGGCGCAGGUUGAGGGUGUGGGUGGCGCUGGAGAGAGCCUCGGUCCAGAACCGGGGCGGAACGGCGGCGUGAAGGAGCAGCGCACGAACAACGUCGUUGAGGGUACGAAGAGCACGUUCGGCACGCCCAUUUUGCUGGGAUGUAUACGGGCAUGUAAGGCGGAGGAUGGAACCGUGCGCGGAAAGCAAAGAGUGGAUGCCAUGGUUGUCGAAUUCGCGCCCGUUGUCGGUUUGGAGGCCGAGUAUAGGGCGGGAAAACUACGUUUGAACAAAGGCGAAGAACGAAGUGAGCGUGGGGAGGACAUCCGACUUGCGAUGCAACGGAAAAGUCCAUACAAAGUGCGAGAAAUCAUCGAGAAGCACCAAGUAGUAUUGAAACCCUGAAUUGCUUAUUAUUGGAGAGCACCAUACAUCACAAUGCAACAAUUCAAAUGGAAAACGAGAGAUGUGAGAAGAAGAAAAAGGAAGGCGAGUGCUCUUGCCCAAACGGCAAGCAGAGCACGAGUGAGGCGCACUUUUAAUACAUUGAAAAAGAUUGCUACGGAGGAGCUGGUGCAUGGUCGAGGCACCGGGGUGCCCCAAGCGGGCAUGCCAGAUAUCGACGCCCGCGCGAGGAGGGCGACGCCGGAGCGGAUAGAGAUCACCAGGGCUAUCACAUCGGAGCAGCACCGUCUUGGUCCGCAGGUCCUUGAUGGAGAAACCAAAGGGGUCAAAUUCAACCAAAACAAAAUUCUGACGAGUGAGUGCACGAACAGAAAUGAGAUUAGUGAUAAGCUGAGGAGAAACGAGCACAUCAUAGAGUUUAAUGGGAGAAUGAGGGGAGAGAGAGAUCACCGUGGUGUGUGAUGGGGAGAGAGGAACCAUCACCCACCACGAUGCGAGUAGAUGUAGGGAAGGGUUUAGACUGGGAGAGGAUACCAGGGUGGGAGGCCAUGUGGGAGGAUGCGCCAGUGUCCAUGAACCAGUCGUCGUUGCCGGAGUAGGCGGCCGACGAGGGAGCCUGAUGCAGGGCCGCCAGGAGCGCUGGAUCGUAGGGGGAGGACGCCCCGCCGGAGUUGCUGAGCCAGUGCCCAGGGGGCGUGGNNNNNNNNNNNNNNNNNNNNNNNNNNNNNNNNNNNNNNNNNNNNNNNNNNNNNNNNNNNNNNNNNNNNNNNNNNNNNNNNNNNNNNNNNNNNNNNNNNNNNNNNNNNNNNNNNNNNNNNNNNNNNNNNNNNNNNNNNNNNNNNNNNNNNNNNNNNNNNNNNNNNNNNNNNNNNNNNNNNNNNNNNNNNNNNNNNNNNNNNNNNNNNNNNNNNNNNNNNNNNNNNNNNNNNNNNNNNNNNNNNNNNNNNNNNNNNNNNNNNNNNNNNNNNNNNNNNNNNNNNNNNNNNNNNNNNNNNNNNNNNNNNNNNNNNNNNNNNNNNNNNNNNNNNNNNNNNNNNNNNNNNNNNNNNNNNNNNNNNNNNNNNNNNNNNNNNNNNNNNNNNNNNNNNNNNNNCGCUGCAGAGAGGACUGCUGCAUCCUCCGCUCCUUGAGGCGCAAGUAGUUGAUGGCGCGGGCGAACGUCGGCUCGGUGAGAAGGUUGAGAUUAGAAGCAGCGUUGGCGUAGUCUGAACCGAGCCCACGGAUCAGGUUCGUGAGCAUGGUGGCGUCAGAGACCGGGGCGCCCACGUCGCGGAGCUCGUCGGCGAGCACCUUGAGGCGGAGGCAGUAGUCGAAGAGCCCCAUGCCUUCCUGGGAGAGGCUGUAGAACUCGGUCGUGAGAAGCACAUGACGCUGGAGCUGAUUGUCGAGGAAGAGCUGGCAGAUGGAGGUCCAAAUGCCGAGGGCCGAGUCAUCGUCGCGGAUGACGUGCGAGAGGAUCUCGUUGCUGACGGUGCGAUAGAGCCACUUGAUGGUAGUGGCGUCAACCCUCAUCCAGUUGGCAUCGUCGCGCAUGGCGCGGGCGUCAACCGAUCUGUCGACAUGAUCCCGAAUUUGGAAUUCGCGGAAGGUCAACGAGACGUAGGUGCGCGAGGUGGAGAAGGAGGGUGUGUGGAUAUCCAGGACGACGGGGACGUGAUCCUGGAUGUGGAUGAGCCGAAGGCUGGCGGCAGAGGCAGGCUCGAGAACGGCAAAGGGGUUGACCUCGCCGGCGAGGGAGGAGCGAGGGGAGGCCAUCGCGGCGGUGGGUAGCGGAAGCGAGGAGAGGAUCAGAAGAAAACUAAUACCAUGUAAGAUUUGAGAGAGAGAGGUUUUGGAUCUGCACACUUUAUUCAAUCUAAACCAUGAGUAUUUAUACAGGUAGAUGAUCAGUGUCUAACAGAAAACCCUAAGGAGCUAGUUAGCGGCAGUGACCGUGCGAGGUGGGUUAGCAUUGGGUUAUCGAUUCCCAAGCAUGCGGACGUGCAUGCGUGUUGGGUCAUCGCCAUGCAUGGGCUUGCUUGAGGACCAAGUCGGGCCGACGACAUGGGCUAUAGUGAGGCCUGUUUCAACACCAGGCACGACCCGAUUAUUAAACGGGUCGGCAUGUUGGCCCGAUUAGCACGCUNCACGUGCCCAGCCUCCAGGCCCAGGCACGGUCCGAGGCGUGCUUCGUGUCGAGCCCGAGCACGAUUAGCCCGUGCCGGGCCGGGCCGGGCCCGUGUCGUGCCAGACACGCGGGCUGUCGGGCAAGCCCAUUUACCCGGCCCCCAUUUGGCGAGAUCUGGUUCCAGCAGACACUGUAACAAAAUCGAUGCACGUGUGGUAGUGGUGGAAAGGCACGUGGAGAAGGCGUUGAAUUUAUAAUGUGCGCCGAGCACCAUGCGCCAAAUCUAACACGUGUCGGGCCGCCUUUUCCCGUGCUUAAACUUUUCCCGCGCGUCAGAAUCUUUCGCGUGCGCUGGAGUGCACGCUAAAAUUCAAUUUUCCCUUGUGCCCACGUUUUUUAAGUCACUGUUGGAGAUGCUCUCGGGGGAACCAACUUGAGGGAGCGUGGUAUUCUUAGUCGGCCAGGUUUAAAUCUUGUGCUCGUAUUAUUUUUGAAAUUAUUUUAGGAUUUUCAGCAAUGCGCAUUUAGUGAAAAGAAUCAUUUUUGUCGACGACGAGGCGCCUAGAGUGAUUUAGUAAAUCUUAAGAUGAUAUGGUGGCUCAGUCUCUCGAAUGUGAUCAUAAGGAUAGGGUGUACGUAUAUGAGUUCAUAGGGAUGAUUAUAUACACGUGUAUAUGAGCGCUUACGUAUGUACUGUGUUAGAAAAAUACCGUCGCAUAGAAGAACACGGUUUUUUAUUUUAGAGGAAUGACCAUGUGUCUAUUAAACAAACAAUUACAAUGAAUACAUACAUAUAUACACNAUAUAUAUAUGGGGGGGGGGUCUCUUCAUGACUCAAGUGAAUGACAAGGACAAGGUUGAGAUGCCAUCUUUAUAUCAAAAUUUGUAUCAAUCAUUUCAUGACUCAAAUGGUCUGCUACAAUAAUUUCAAAGGUAUGGCACCCUCAAUCCAUCUCCCAAUAUCGUUCAAUUGCUCUUGGCACGGUGAUGUAUAAGAUUGUUGUUAAGGUAGUAGCUAAUCGUAUGAGGGGCAAUAUGAAGGUGAUCAUUAGUGAAGAGCAAAGUAUUUUUGUGCCUCGGUAUUUAAUUAAUGACAACAUUGUAUUUGCAUAUGAAAGUGUGGACACUAGGAGGCGACAAAAGAAGGGCAAGAGUUUCUCAUGCAUUGUUAAAUUGGUGAUGAAAGCCUACAACUGAAUUGAGUGGCAUUACUUGGAAGCCAUCUUGAUGAAGUUGGGUUUUAGCAUCGAUUUCGUAAGACUUAUUACGAAAUAUGUUUCGUCGGUCAGAUUCUCGGUAAGGGUGAAUCAAGAUCUUCUACCAUACUUCACUCCUACAGGGGGAUUGCGACAUGGCGUCCCAAUGUCAUUAUACCUAUUUCUGCUAUGUGUGGAAAGUUUUUCCUCGCUACUCAAAUACUAUGAUGGUGGCUAUGUGGACAAGGGGACCAGAGUCAAUUAUAGAUCACCGCGGGUGAGCCAUUUAUUAUUUGUCGAUGAUAGCCUCAUCUUCCUCAAUGCAACAAGGUUGAACUCCAUUAUUGAGAUAUGUGGAAGUGCUUCAGGGCAGAGUGUGAAUAUAGAUAAGCGGGCCAUCUAUUUUAGUCCUAACACACCGGAUCCGGUUCGACAAUUGCUGAAAACAUCCUUGGAUAUUCAUGUCGAGGCUUUCAUUGUAAAGUAUCUUGGUCUUCCAACAGCUGUGGGGCGCAUUACAAUUGAACUUUUGUACACAUGGAGAUAGGGCUCGAGGGAAGAUGCAAGAGUAGUUGGAAAAGUUAAUAGCUUGCGCCGGGAGAGAUGCAGUAUUGAAGUUCGUUGUUCAAGCGCUCCCGUUGUACAGUAUGACCACUUUUAUCUUGAACAAGAAAGUCUAUAAGAGCAUCACUUCACCAAUGGCAGAGAAAUUAUGGAGUAUCUCUUUGGACAAGAAAUCUAUGCAUUGGGUUUCAUGGUAUAAACUUGCGACUCCAAAGCGCAAAGAGGGCAUGGGAUAUUGAGACAUGCACCCCUUUAAUUUGGCUUUGCUAGGGAAGCAUGGUUGGCAUUUAUGACCUAGCCUAUAUUCCUAUAUGCAAGGGUUUUGAAGGGUCGCUACUUCCCGCACAUUGAUUUCAUGAAUGUUGUUCUUCCUCGCUCGGUAUCAGCUACAUGGCAUGCUACAAUUGCAGGAAUGGAAUCACUAAAGUUUGUUAUGAUAAAGCGAGCUGGUGAUGGAUCACCAAUUUCGUUUUGGGAUGAUAAAUGGACCGCGGGAAGUAUUUCCAUGACACCGAUGCUGAAACCGGAGAACGGGUGAUUGAAAAGGUCCCUGAGUUGAUUGAUUAGGACAAAUGUACAAGGAAUCAACAUGUGGUCAUAGAUACUUUUAUCCCGUCUCAUGCAGAUGCCAUUCUAAACGUUCCAAUUCGGCAAGGUGGAUGCAAUGAUUUUCUUGCUUGCGCAUUUGAAAAGCCAGGAAACUACAGUGUUAAAUCAGCGUACCAUAUCUCAUGACUUAAAAAGAGUGUUUGACUCUGGAAAAAGGAACGGCUACCGAGACCUCAAAGAGUGGUCAACAAUUAUGGAGUGCACUUCAGAAGUUGAAUGUUUUGCCAAGGGUUAGGGUGUUCUAGUGGAGGGUCUUGCAUGGAAUCAUGCUGGAUAUGCUUUAGGAGGGGCGCACAUUCCUGAUCUUCCCCAUGCCUGUCAGGCGAGCGAGGGCUGGGUGCGGUGCAUGUGCUCGGGUUAGCCCCAAUAGAGCAGAAAAAUCCAAGCGAUUGAGCUCUAGCUCACGGGCCUGCUCUCGUGUACAUCACCUCACCAGGUCCUUGAUGCUCUUGUCUCCUCGCGUAACAUCCAAAGGCAACCCCACGAGCGCCCUCGCUGCACUACUCUUGGCAAUUUCCCUGGUGCAAGAUAUCGAAGGCCUCAUGAGCCCCUGAUACGUCCAUUUUGCAUCAUGCUUUCAUGUUGAUAUUUAUCGCUUCUUGGGGUGUUAUUUCAUUUCACGGUACAAUACUUAUGCCUUUUCUCUCUUAUUUUGCAAGGUUUACAUGAAGAGGGAGAAUGCCGGCAACUGGAAUUCUGGCCUGAAAAAGGAGCAAGUUUGAGAUGCCUAUUCUGCGCAACUCCAAAAGCCAUGAAAAUCAACGUGGAUUUUUUUGGGAAUUUAUAAAAAAUACUGGGAUGAAGAAGUGCCAGAGGAGCGCAACCAGGGGGCCACAAGCCUCGUAGGCGCGACCACCCCCCUGGCCGCGCCUAGGGGGCUUGUGGGCUCCCUACUGGCCCACUGGCUCCCCUCUUCUGCUAUAUGAAGGGUUUCGUUCCGAAAAAAAAUCAAGAGGAGGCUUUUCGGAGGAUUCGCCGCCGCCACGAGGCGGAAGUUGAGCAGAACCAAUCUAGAGCUCCGGCAGGACGAUCCUGCCGGGGAAACUUCCCUCCUGGAGGGGGAAAUCGUCGCCAUCGUCAUCACGAACACUCCUCUCAUCGGAAGGGACUCAUCACCAUCAACAUCUUCAUUAGCACCAUCUCAUCUCCGAACCUUAGUUCAUCACUUGUAACCAAUCUCCGUCUCCCGACUCCGAUUGGUACUUGUAAGGUUGUUAGUAGUGUUAAUUACUAUUUGUAGUUGAUGCUAGUUGGAUUAUUUGGUGAAAGAGUUUAUGUUCAGAUCCUUGAUGCUACUCAUUACCUCUCUGGUCAUGAAUAUGAUUAUGCUUUGUGAGUAGUUACUUUUGUUCCUGAGGACAUGGGAUAAGUCAUGCUAAUAGUAGUCAUGUGAAUUUGGUAUUCGUUCGAUAUUUUGAUGUGUUGUAUGUUGUUUUUACUCUAGUGGUGUUAUGUGAACGUCGACUACAUAAAAUUUCACCACUAUUUGGGCUAUAGGAAGGAAUUGGGAAGUAGUAAGUAGAUGAUGGGUUGCUAGAUUGACAGAAGCUUAAACCCUAGUUUAUGCGUUGCUUCGUAAGGGGCGGAUUUGGAUCCACUAGUUUAAUGCUAUGGUUAGACUUUGUCUUAAUUCUUCUUUCGUAGUUGCGGAUGCUUGCGAGAGGGGUUAAUCAUAAGUGGGAUGCUUGUCCAAGUAAGGGCAGUACCCAAAUGCCGGUCCACCCACAUAUCAAACUAUCAAAGUAACGAAAGCGAAUCAUAUGAACAUGAUGAAAACUAGCAUGACAGAAAUUCCCGUGUGUCCUCGGGAGCGUUUUUCCUCCUAUAAGACUUUGUCCAGGCUUGUCCCUUGCUACAAAAGGGAUUGUGCCACUUUGCUGCACCAUUGCUACUUUUGUUACUUGUUGCUUGUUGCGAAUCAUCUCACCACACAACCACUUGUUACCGAUAAUUUCAGUGCCUGCAGAUAUUACCUUGCUGAAAACCACUUGUCAGAUCCUUCUGCUCCUCAUUGGGUUCGACACUCUUACUUGUAGAAAGGACUACGAUAGAUCCCCUAUACUUGUGGGUCAUCAGCCCCCCAUCACGAGGCCUCGCAAGCUGCUCCCUAUGGAGGACUCACUCCAAGCUGCACACCUCAAAGGAGCUAAGUCUAAAACACCCCUCGGGUUUUAUACCUCUCAUUCACCUCUCAAGGCAUCUUGAUUUCCUUGGCACGAGACGCCUACACGUCAAGGGGGACCCUGAGCAUCGUGCCUUAGGGACUCCUACCAUCCCUAAGAUCCCUACACCAUGUGGCCUUGUUGAGCGCAUGCUCUACACAUACCAGCAACGGUUGUAGCCCGUCCCGGGGGCUGGGUCCAAGCGACACAAGGCACAAAGGCAACCUAAAAGGGAAAUAAAGGCCUCGAGAGGAAAACAAAAACACAUAAAACAUCAACUACUUAAGACAAAAGUGCCAUAAGAAUGUUUUCACACACCCACGAGGCUGCAUAUACUUUAUUACAGCAAUGCGCCAAGGGGAGUCUAGGCGGACGAGGCACCACUGUCGUUACUCUCGCCAUCAUUGUGAGGGGUCUCUCUACCACAACCGAUGUGAUCCCUCGCAACCUCUCGUCUGAAACCAAAGUGACUAUCGAGGCAGAGAAGGUUGUCGAAAAGUCGCAUCGUCGCCAGGGUCAACAAGUCACGACACGCCUCCUCGACGAUGGCGUCCACAUCAAGCAGUUGCUUCUUGAGGUCGUCGACCUCGGCCUAGAGCUUGCCCCGCUGGCCCGUGAGGCCCUUCUGUUCAUCGAGAGUAGCCUGGGCGGAAACCAACUUGCACUCCUUCGCCAAUAGGCGCUCCCGCUCUGCCUCCCACGCAGACGGGAAAGACGAUAACUCGCGCUCCCGGGUCUCGAUGUUCGCCUCGCGGGAGGCGACCGCCCUGGGGCGCCUCAAGACCUCCUCCUCAUGUUUUGUGAGCUCGACUUAGCAGGGCGUGGGACAGCUCUCGGAGGCCUCCAUAGCCUCCUCCCGCAUUUUGAGCGGACGCUCGCAUAAAGCAGGUGGUUCCUAGAGCAUCUUCUCGUCGGCAUGAGGCCCCCUCCCGUUGUCGCUUGGCCUCCUGGCAUUAUCGAGGGCCUUCAUGAGGGACACAUGGGCAUCUUUGGCGAGCUAAUCGUGAUAUGCUUGCGCCUCCUCACCCUGCUGACGGUCUAGCUUCAUCGCCUUCUCAAGCCGGCUCUUCCCCUUCUCCAAGCGUCGCCGCUCCUCCGCGUAGAGCUUUGCCUCUGUGCGCCCCUGGGAGAGUGCCUCCCGAUCCUCGACAGCCUCGCCCUCACCCUCAAGCCGAAGCUCGCCCUCCUCCUUGCCUCCCACCAGUUUUUUCUCCAGGCACGUCGGGGCGACGGGCGAGACGACCGACUCCUUGCUGAUUGCGUUGGGUUCCCUCCAGGCUCAAAUGGUGAUGUAGCACAUCGAAGACAAGUAUUUCCCUCAGUUAUGAAACAAAGGUAUCAAUCUAGUAGGAAGAUCCACAAGACUAUGUAAGCGACACAUGCACACAAAUAGCAAAUCCUUGCAAGCCAACGCGUGGAGAGGUCAUCAAUCCCUCGUGGGUAAAGUAAGGAUAGAUUGAUAUAUGCAAAUAAGAAUGAUAGCAAAUAAAAUGCAGCAUGGUAUUUUUGUUUUUUUAUAAUAUAGAUCUGAAAAUAAAAGAGAAAACAAAAUAGAAACAUGAAUAGCAAAUUAGAGGUUGCAAAUAGAUGAUGUGAAGUAGAUCCGAUGGCCGUAGGUUUCACUAGUGGCUUCUCUUGAGAAAAUAGCAAACGGUGGGUAGACAAAUUAUUGUUGGGCAAUUGAUAGAAGAGCAGAAAAUUAAGACGAUAUUCAAGACAAUGAUCAUGUGUAUGUUGGAAAUAUGCCCUAGAGGCAAUAAUAAAAUAGUUAUUAUUAUAUUUCCUGUUUCAAGAUAAUCGUUUAUUAUCCAUGCUAUAAUUGUAUUGAAUGAAAGCAUAGAUACAUGUGUGGAUAUAUAGACAAAACAAUGUCCCUAGUAAGCCUCUAGUUGGCUAGCCAGUUGAUCAAGCAUGGUUAAGGUUUUUUGACCAUAUGCAAGUGUUGUCACUUGAUGACCGGAUCACAUCAUUAGGAGAAUGAUGUGAUGGACAAGACCCAAACUUUGAACGUAGCAUGUGAUCGUGUCAUUUUGUUGCUAUUGUUUUCUGCGUGUCAAGUAUUCAUUCCUAUGACCAUGAGAUCAUGUAACUCACUGACACCAGAGGGAUACCUUGUGUGUAUCAAACGUCGCAACGUUACUGGGUGACUAUAAAGGUGCUCUAUAGGUAUCUCCGAAGGUGUCCGUUGAGUUAGCAUGGAUCAAGACUGGGAUCUGUCACUCCGUGUGACGGAGAGGUAUCUCGGGGCCCACUCGGUGAUACAACAUCACAUAUAAGCCUUGCAAGCAAUGUGACUCAAGUGUUAGUCACGGGAUCUUGUAUUACUGAACGAGUAAAGAGACUUGCCGGUAACGAGAUUGAAAUAGGUAUAGGGAUACCGACGAUCAAAUCUCGGGCAAGUAACAUAGCGAAGGACAAAGGUAAUGGUAUACGCUAUUAUAUGAAUCCUUGGCACAGAGGUUCAACCGAUAAGAUCUUCAUAGAAUACGUAGGAUCCAAUAUGGGCAUCCAGGUCCCGCUAUUGGAUAUUGAACGGGGAGUGUCUCAGGUCAUGUCUGCAUAGUUCUCGAACCCGCAGGGUCUGCACACUUAAGGUUCGGUGACGUUUCGGUAUAGUUGAGUUAUAGGUGUUGGUGAACGAAGGUUGUUCGGAGUCCCGGAUGAGAUCACGGACGUCAGGAGGGUUUCCGUAAUGGUCUGGUAACGAAGAUUGAUAUAUAGGAUGGUUUCAUUUGGUCUCUGGAAAGAUUUCGGGCAUUACCGACAGUGUACCGAGAGUGACGAAUGCAUUUCAGGUUUUCACCGGGAGGGGCCCACCCACCCGGGAGAGAGCCUAAUAGCCCAAGGGUGGCGCACCAGCCCUUAGUGGGCUGGUGAGGCCAGCCCAAGUGGGCUAUGGCGGCUAAGGAGAAAAAACCAAAGAGAAAGAAAAAAAGGGGAGGUGGGAAGGAAGAGGAGGAAUCCUCCUUCCCCAAACCGAAUCGGAGUUGGAGUCCUCCUCUCCUCUCUCGGUCGGCGCCCUAGGGGCUCCCUUGAGCCCCAAGGCUAGCCCCUCCCCUCCUCCUAUAUAUACUAGAGGUUUUAGGGUUUUUGAGACACAACUUUGCCACGUGCAACUCAAACCUCUACUUCAUAGUUCUUCCUCUAGAUCGGUUUUCUGCGUAGCUCAGGUGGAGCCCUGCAGGAAUAGAUCAUCACCAUCACCGGCGCACCAUCACGCUGCCGAAGAACUCAUCUACUUACCCGUCUAUCUUGUUGGAUCAAGAAGGCGGAGAUCGUCAUCGAGCUGUACGUGUGCUGAACGCGGAGGUGCCGUCCGUUCGGCGCUAGAUCGGAACGGAUCGUGGGACGACGGUGAUAUGAAUCACGAAGCUGUACCACUACAUCAACCGCGUUUCUUAACGCUUCCCGCUUAGCGAUCUACAAGGGUAUGUGGAUCCGAUCUCCCUCUCGUAGAUGAACAUCAUCAUGAUAGGUCUUCGUGUGCGUAGGGAUUUUUUUGUUUCCCAUGCAACGUUCCCCAACAGUGGCAUCAUGAGCUAGGUUCAUGCGUAGAUGUAAUUUCGAGUAGAACACAAAAAUUUUUGUGGGCGUUGAUGUUCAAUUUGCUGCCCUCCUUAGUCUUUUCUCGAUUCGACGGUAUUGUUGGAUUGAAGCGGCCCGGACCAACAUUACUCGUACGCUUACGAGAGACCGGUUUCAUCGACUAACAUGCAACUUGUUGCAUAAAGAUGACUGGCGGGUGCCUGUUUCUUCAACUUUAGUUGAAUUGGAUUUGACCGAGGCGGUCCUUGGAUAGAGGUUAAAUAGAAAUUUGCAUAUCUCCGUUGUGGUUUUUGCGUAAGUAAGAUGCGAUCAUACUAGAUACCAGUAGCAUCCACGUAAAACAUGCAACAACAAAUUAGAGGACGUCUAACUUGUUUUUGUAGGGUAUGCUUGUGAUGUGAUAUGGCCAAAGACAUGAUGUGAUAUAUUGGAUGUAUGAGAUGAUCAUGUUGUAAUAGUUAAUAUCGACUUACACGUCGAUGCUACGGCAACCGACAGGAGCCAUAGGGUUGUCUUCAAACUAACGUUUGUGUUUGCAGAUGCAUUUACUAUAUUGCUAGGUUGUAGCUUUAGUCGUAAUAGCAUAGAUAGCACGACAACCGCGAUGGCGGCACGAUGAUGGAGAUCAUGGUGUGGCGCCGGUGACGAUGAAGAUCAUGCCGAUGCUUUGGUGAUGGAGAUCAAGAAGCACAAGAUCAUGGCCAUAUCAUGUCACUUAUGAACUGCAUGUGAUGUUAAUCCUUUUAUGCACCUUAUCUUGCUUAGAAUGACGGUAGCAUUAUAAGGUGAUCCCUCACUAAAUUUCAAGAUAAAAUUGUGUUCUCCCCGACUGUGCACCGUUGCGACAGUUCAUUGUUUUGAGACACCACGUGAUGAUCGGGUGUGAUAGACUCAACGUUCACAUACAACGGGUGCAAAACAGUUGCACACGUAGAACACUCGGGUCAAACUUGACGAGCCUAGCAUGUGCAGACAUGGCGGGGGGGGGGGGGGGGCAAGAGACCGAAAUGUCGAGCAUGAAUCGUAUAGUUGAUAUGAUUAGCACAGAUAUGUUUACCACUGAAACUACACUCAACUCACGUGAUGAUCGGACUUGAGUUAGUGAAUUUGGAUCAUGCCACACUCAAGUAACUAGAGGGAUCUCUAUUUGAGUGGGAGUUUAUUAGUAAUUUGAUUAGUUAAACUCUAAUUGUCUUGAACAUAGUCUAAGUCCACUUUGCAAUAUUUUAUGUUGUAGAUCAAUGGCUCACGCAGUAGCAACCCUGAAUUUCAAUACGUUCCUGGAGAAAGCUAAGCUGAAAGAUGAUGGUAGCAACUUUGUAGACUGGGCUCGUAAUCUUAGGAUCAUCCUACAAGCUGGGAAAAAGAAUUAUGUCCUUGAUGCUGCACUAGGAGAUGAACCACCCACUACGUCUGAUCAAGAUGUUUUGAACGCUUGGCAAUCACAUAAGGAGGACUACUCAGUAGUUCAAUGUGCAGUCUUGUAUGGCUUGGAACCGGGACUUCAACGAUGCUUUAAACGUCAUGGAGCAUAUGAGAUGUUCCAGGAGUUGAAGUUUAUCUUUCAGAAGAACGCCCGGAUCGAGAGGUAUGGGACCUCCGAUAAAUUCUAUGCUUGCAAAAUGGAGGAGAAUUCGUCUGUUAGUGAACAUGUGCUCAAAAUGUCUGGGUAUUCAAAUCAUCUAGCCGAGUUGGGGAUUGAACUCCCGCAAGAGGCUAUCAUUGACAGAAUUGUUCAAUCACUGCCACCUAGCUAUAAGAGCUUUGUGUUGAACUAUAAUAUGCAAGGGAUGAACAAGUCACCCCGCGAGUUAUUCACGAUGCUGAAAGUCGCAGAGUCAGAACUCCGGAAAGAACAUCAAGUGUCGAUGGUCAAUAAGACCACUGGUUUCAAGAGAAACAACAAAGGCAAGAAGGGUAACUCCAAGAAGAGCGGCAAAACAGUUGCCAAUCCGACGAAGAAACCCAAGGCUGGACCUAAGCCGGAAACAUGGUUCUAUUAUUGCAAGGGGAUGGGUCACUGGAAGCGCAACUGCCCCAAGUAUUUGGCUGAUAAGAAGUCGGCCAACGCCAAACCAGGUAUAUGUGAUAUACAUGUUAUUGAUGUGUACUUAACCAACUCUCGUAGUAGUGCCUGGGUAUUUGAUACCGGUUCUGUUGCUCAUAUUUGCAACUCAAAGCAGGAACUGCGGAAUAAACGAAGGUUGGCGAAGGAUGAAGUGACGAUGCGCGUGGGAAAUGGUUCCAAGGUUGAUGCAAUCGCCGUCGGCACAGUCUCACUUCAGUUACCAUCAAGAUUAGUUAUGAACUUAAAUAAUUGUUAUUUAGUGCCUGCGUUAAGGAUGAACAUUAUAUCUGGAUCUUUUUUAUUACGAGACGGAUACUCAUUUAAGUCAGAGAAUAAUGGUUGUUCUAUUUUUAUGAGUAAUAUCUUUUAUGGUCAUGCACCCAAUGUGAGGGGUUUGUUCAUAUUGAAUGUUGAUUGUGAGUUAACAAUGAUAGCGCCACCUUUUUGUGGCACUUCUGCUUAGGUCAUAUUGGUGUAAAGCGCAUGAAGAAACUCCAUGCUGAUGGGCUUUUGGAGUCACUUUAUUUUGAAUCACUUGACAUGUGCGAACCAUGCCUCAUGGGAAAGAUGACUAAGACCCCGUUCUCUGGAACAAUGGAACAUGCAAGUGACUUGUUGGAGAUCAUACAUAAUGAUGUGUGCGGUCCAAUGAGUGUGGAGGCGCGUGGCGGAUAUCGUUAUUUUCUCACCUUCACUGAUGAUUUGAGUAGGUAUGGAUAUAUCUACUUGAUGAAGCACAAGUCUGAAAUGUUUGAAAAGUUCAAGCAAUUUCAGAGUGAAGUGAAAAUCAUCGUAACAAGAAUAUCAAGUUCCUACGAUCUGAUCGAGGGGGUGAGUAUCUGAGUUUCGAGUUCGAUGCUCACUUAAGACAAUGUGGAAUCGUUUCACUGUUGACACUUCCUAGAACACCACAGUGUAAUGGUGUGUCCGAACGUCAUAAUCGUACUUUGUUAGAUAUGGUGCGAUCUAUGAUGUCUCUUACCGAUUUGCCAUUAUCGUUUUGGGGUUAUGCAUUAGAGACAGCUGCAUUCACUUUAAAUAGGGCACCAUCAAAAUCCGUUGAGAUGACACCAUAUGAGCUAUGGCAUGGCAAGAGGCCAAAGUUGUCGUUUCUUAAAGUUUGGGGAUGCGAUGCUUAUGUCAAAAAGCUUUAGCCUGAAAAGUUGGAACCCAAAGCGGAAACGUGUUUCUUCAUAGGUUACCCAAAAGAGACAGUUGCGUACACCUUCUAUCUCAGAUCCGAGGGCAAAGUGUUUGUUGCUAAGAAUGGAUCUUUUCUUGAGAAGGAGUUUCUCUCGAAAGAAUUGAGUGGGAGGAAGAUAUAACUUGAUGAGGUUGUGGAACCUUUGCUCCCUCUAGAUGGUGGCGUAGGGCAGAGAGAAAUCUCUGUCGAGGCAACACCGGUUGAGGAAGAAGCUAAUGAUGAUGAUCAUGAAGCUUUGGAUCAAGUUACUAUCGGACCUCGCAGGUCGACAAGAUCACGUACUGCUCCUGAGUGGUACAGGAAUCAUGUCUUAUCGAUCAUGUUGUUAGACAACAAUGAACCUGUGAAUUAUGAAGAAGCAAUGGUGGGCCCGGAUUCCAACGAAUGGCUGGAGGCCAUGAAGUCCGAGAUAGGAUCUAUGUAUGAAAACAAAGUAUGGACUUUGGAAGUAUUACCUGAAGGUCAUAAGGCUAUUCAGAACAAAUGGAUCUUUAAGAAGAAGACGAACGCGGACGGUAAUGUGACCGUUUAUAAAGCUCGACUUGUGGCAAAGGGUUUUUCACAAGUUCAAGGAGUUGACUACGAUGAGACGUUCUCACUGGUAGAAAUGCUUAAGUCCGUCCGAAUCAUGUUAGCAAUAGCUGCAUUUUUCGAUUAUGAAAUCUGGCAGAUGGAUGUCAAAACGGCGUUCCUUAAUGGUUUUCUUAAGGAAGAGUUGUAUAUGAUGCAACCCGAAGGUUUUGUCGAUCCAAAGAAUGCUAACAAAGUACGCAAGCUCCAGCGAUCCAUUUAUGGACUGGUGCAAGCAUCUCGGAGUUGGAAUAAGUGCUUUGAUGAGGUGAUGAAGUGUAAGGACUAAGAUGCGGUCCUUUUCGGUUUAGGGGAACGAGGCCCCAAAGAGGAAAGAAGCGCAUCUAAGCGUUUCGCAAACACGGUAACAUAGCACAUACAUAAUAAUAGAAUGACAAUUAGGGAUUCAACUGCCAUAUCAUAAAUAAUAUUAGAGUUUACAUCACGCAUCCAAGCAAGGUAGUUCCGCUAUGGACUACAAAACAUGAGAAAUGACUAUGUUACCCUGCAUGCUUGCCCACGAUCACGACCACGCCUCAGUCUUUUGGACAGUUCACGUACAGGCGGUCGUUCUCCUCAUCGUACUGCCACGCCAGCUACGUGUCGUCGGGAUCACCUGUCUCGGGGGUACCUGAACCUAUUGGUGCGUUGAAGUAAUAUGUGAGCCACGGGGACUCAACAAUCUAUGACCUCGGUGCUAGAACUAGUCAAGUUAAUAGGUAAGGAAGGUGGAGUAUUUAGGUUGCAACAUCCUAAGCAUAUAUGGUGGCUAACUUACGUAGAGCAAGUAUUGAAGAUGGUCUAUACUAGCAAUCGAUGAUUAGCUGAUCACUAAGUGAUCCUGAACACCUACUUAUGUCAAUCAUAACCCCACCGUGUUCCCGAUCGAAGAGAAGUCUUCGAAGGGGACAAUCACGGUUACACAAACAGUUGGCAAUUUUAUUAGCUUAUGUUUAAGUUAUCUAUAAGCGGAUGUUAACAAAUAUUCCAAGUUGCCACAUAACCGCGGGCACGACUUUCCGAAAUAUUAAACCCUGCAGGCGUGCUCCAACUAGUCCAUCACAAAUGGUCACGGGCCGCAAAGUAAUCCUCUAUCACGAAUCUCGUGAUCUCGUCGGAUUCCUUAGAGGAAAACCUCAACUCUGGGGAGAACCAAAGCUUCACCGGGAUUCCUAUACACAAGAUAUAUCGCUAAGGUAAGACAAGAUUAGCAGGACCUCCCGUCGUGUCGACGACCCCGAUAAGAGCCGCGUAUCUCAGUCUCAGGACACGACGGAUGAGCUACGCGCACGAUGGCCUGAUAGAAAUCACUCAAGUUGCCCUGAGUUGGCCCCGAACAGUGCUCAUUUUGGACCAACACUCAUGAGGAGCACUGGCCCGGGUUGUUGAUUAACUCCUCGGGGUGAUCAUUCCCUAUGCAGAUUAUUAUUAAGUGAUUAGCAAAUUAACACCAAUGUUGGGUCCCUCCGGACAAGUCUUAACACUACACGAUUUAUCAAGGGGGUCCCCAUAACAACCCCGAACGUGUUAGGAGCGAACAGUUAUGGAAUCAAACACUCGUAGCCGGAAACUAUGGCGGCAAUAACGGAACAAAACACCCGGAAAAAGGCUAAGCCUUCCGUUAUUUACCAAGUAUAUAGGUGCAUUAAUUAAAUAAUAGAUUAACAUAAUGAUAUCAACUGAUGUUAUCACAUGAGACAAAGCACCUGCAACUAGCAACGCUGACAUUAGUAGCUGAGCAAAGCCUACUUAGCCGUUCAAGAUUUGCUAGGAGGGGAAAGUGUUUGGUUUUCAUGGCAAUAUUCAGGAGGCAAUUAUUUCAGUGGUAGGCAGCGAGCAUAUGACAAGGAAACGUGAAUCUAGCAUAACAAGUCUAGAGAUGGAAUCAAGAUCAUAUCAUCUUGCGUGUGAUGUCCUCAGCUUGGAAUUGCUCUGGUUCGUCCUGCACGUACUCUCCCGGAUCCACGUACUCAUUCUCUGAUCCCGGUGCUACCCAACAUAAAAAUAACAUCCAAUGAAUAACAACACUUCAAGAUGCAACAAGCACAUGAUGCAUGAGAUGAAAAUGAACAUGCACCUCUAUUGUACUCACUUGAACAUGCUUGAGAAGGAGAUACAAGUUCCUGGACAAAACUGCACUCUAAGCUAUCUUGUCAUGUAUGAGGAUGACAUGAACAGAAGCGUCACGCGAAAAUGAUGCAAAAACAUAUAAAGAACGUUACGUUCGGAGCUACGGAUCAACCGGAAACAAUGAAACAAGAAAUAGAGUCCUACGUGUCAAAUUCGUCACCACACACUCCAAUGGCAUACUUCUGCUAUUCCCAGGUUGCCAUAUCACAAAACAAACAAGAAUGGAUGGGGUGGUGCAAAGAAUACCACCACACCAUCAACUAUGCACUCCCAAGCAUCAAACAUCAAAACUAUACAAUCUGCCAUAAGCAACAUCAUAGCAGUUUGAGAGCUACAUGCAAAGCACCUACAGCUGCCCAAAUAUGCCAAAUAGGAUAUGUGGCAGAAGCUAUCCAAGAGUACUAGAAGCAUGAGCAAAAAUCUAAUUCGAAGGAGUUUCAUACGGAAAGUUACACAGCUGCUAACUUGGCCAAAAAUAUUAGUUUCCAGGGACUUAGUGAAAAUCUCAGAUUCUCACUAGCUGUUUAUGCUCUGAAGCAUUUUGACAGCACCCAAAACAAUAUCUACAGGAUUCCAAAUGGAAUGAAAAUUGACAGAUAGCUAUACAAAUACAAAAUCUACAACUUCCCAGUUGAUAGCUAGGGCUGAUUCCCAACACAUGGUCUUCUACAAGCACAACAACAGGAGAAGAAAAUAUAAGCAGAUUCCCAGACUUAGUGAAAAUCUGUGAUUUUCACUAAACUGGAAUUUUUAGUCACAUGCCUACUUUGACUAGGCACAACUUGCACACAUGAACUCCUAAGCAUGAAACAAAACCAACAUGUGGUAGAAGGGUUCACCCUCUACCGCCACAACAAAGAAUCAACCUCUUGGGCUCAUCACAUCACAUGGAACCAAGCUCUAAACAUGGAACAAAACUGAAAUAUGACAUUCCCAGAAAGUGUUCCAAAGGCAAAACUUACUUCACCAAUGGAUUCAUGGGAUGAUUCUACCCCAAAAACAUAUAUAAUACAUAUGCACUUGCAUAGAAUAAUUGGGCACAAGGCUAAGAAGAAGAUAAGCAUGGAUUCACAAGGUGUGAAUAGUGCAUCAUCACAUGUGCUAUUCAGUAAAACAACACCUACAUAUCCACUUGCACACUAUCAACACUACAAUGGUGCACAUGAGGGUUAUCCCUCAUGCUCAUGUGCCUUAGCAAACCACCACACACACACACAAGCAUCAAGCACAACAUAAUAUAAACACCUACACAUGCUAAUGGGAACACCCACACUAGAUUACACCACAACAUCUAUACACCUUCACAUAUAAACAUGCUCAUGUGCUCAUCAAGGCACUCCAUGCCUUGAGCAUGUGUGGGACACACACACACCAUCUCACACAACAACACAAGAGCACCUACAUAUACACAAGGUAGGUGAGGGCGGAAACCCACACACACACUCACAUCACAUACUUGCACAAGAUAGGACAUAAGNNNNNNNNNNNNNNNNNNNNNNNNNNUGCAUAUCUAUAGCCUAGUGCAACACACAACUAAACACACCCACACAUACAUGUCAUCUAGCUCACAAUGCACAUACAUACAUAUCACUACACAUGCAUAUUUACAUAGCUAGAGAAAUACUAGGAACCUGCUAGAAUAAAUCCAGCAACCAAAACUUGCCUCACAAGCAUGCUGCAGUACAAUAUAGCAAGCAAACAAAACAAACAGGGAAGAAAUGCACAAAAAAAGGACAGGGGAGGGAUCGAACCCUAGAGCCCCUGAUCACCACCUGCACCUCAUACCACUGCGCUAUGGAACAGUCACUUGACAGAUAAGGAAAGCCUAGCAGGAUAAGGUGAUACACGCUGCUCUGUUACUGUGCCGAGAGAAAAAUAGCACAAAAAGGGGGGUUUGGCGCCGCGGGGAUUCGAUCCCACAACCACCUGAUCCACAACAAACACUGCACCACUAUGCCGCGCUACUAUACUUGACAGAGAGGAGGAACUCUCCAAGGUAAGACAUCGAAGCCGGCCUGCUCUGCUACUCACAGAGACGCCGACGGCAGCAAGCCACCGGAGCAAACCUACUUGCUCUACUGCUGCUCUACGCGCGGGGAUCCAUCUACACUACAACUACUACGCUGUUGGAGGCCCCGAGCCACGACGAGCCAAGCACAACAACACAAGAACGACACACCACCUGCACCUGCCCUCGUGCUCUUCUCUGAACAGAGAGGCACGACCUCGAUCUCCUACGCGCAACUACCGAGGAAGAAAAGAGGAAGAUACUAGCUCUCACCUAGGGGAAGGAGGAGAGGUUGCCGAUCGGGGAAGAGGCCUGCCUGGAGAAGAACGAAGACGACCUGAAGCGCCUGACGAAGAACUCUGCAGAACCAAAGCAGGGAGGAACAGGCCGCCGGGAACACGCCGUUGACGUGGUCCUGCCCGUCGCUGUGGUCGCGCUUUGACCUCAACAACAACGGGAAUGGAACGCGGGGCCUACCCCCGAGCCCCCUGACAUGAUGGCCGACACCGAAGGCGGCGGAUGCACGGGAUCGACGACGGCGCACUACUGCCCUCUAUGUGUACCUGGAUCUACAGGAGCUUACCUUGGGGAAGGAGGAGAAGGAUGGAGACGGCAGCGCUAGAUGGGGGAAGCAUGGAACCCUAGGGCAAGGGGGCACGAACGCCGAGGGUUAUAAGAGGGCCUCGACGUCUGUGAGCCCUCACGGCAUGCUCGCUCCCUCUCUGCUGCGUGACGGAAAGCGACGCACGGGGAGACGCCGUCUGAAGAAGGAGAAGGAACGCGUGCCUGGGCUGCCGCGGGGGGGGGGGAGAGAAGCUAGGCCUGCUAGUGGGAGGAGGCCCACUAGUUGGCGCCAGGUAGAAGGAAAUAAACCCAUGGGGUUUAUUAAUUAAGCCAAGACCAGACAAACAAAACAAAUGCACAUGCUAAACAGAUAAAGCUAAAAUUAAAUCAAAAAUACCCCUGGUCAUAAGAAAUUAUGACCUAUUUAAAUAAAAUAGAAAAGAAAUAUUUGGAGCAAUUAAAUAUUUACAAAACAACAUUUAUAUGAUAUGUUUUGGGAAUAUUUGCACCUUUAAAAUAUAGAUUCAAAACAACCAAUUCACAUCUUCACAUCCACCACAAAGUAUACUAAAUCAUGGACAUUUUUUAAAACAAGGAUGGGACAAGUGAAGCUUGACCUUGAGAUAAAUAAAGAGGAAGAUGGUUUUGAAGCCUAUGCAAACCACAUAGUUUCCUACUAGCAAUUGCACCACUCCAUUACUCACAUACACUAUCAUCACAUGACAUAUUCAACACACCACAUACCCACAUGGAUUCACAAAGGCACAAACACAAGACAUGGGUGAAUGAUAGAUGCAUGCAAGCAAAGGAAGAACAAAACAAUGUGACAUCACAUGAAAUCAUAUGCAUUGAGCUCUCAUAUCAAUGACAAGGUGGACCCACAUAGAGAAGGUUCCAGAUAUGGCAAGAUACACUCUUGGGGCAUUACAUGAAGGCAUUUGGGUUUAUACAAGUUAUUGGAGAAUCUUGUAUUUACAAGAGAGUGAGUGGGAGCUUUGUAGAGUUUCUUAUAUUAUAUGUGGAUGACAUAUUGCUGAUUGGAAAUAAUGUGGAGUUUUUAGAGAGCGUAAAGGAUUACUUGAACAAAUGUUUUUCAAUGAAAGACCUAGGAGAAGCUGCUUACAUAUUAGGCAUUAAUAUCUAUAGGGAUAGAUCGAGGUGCCUAAUAGGACUUUGACAAAGCACAUACCUUGAUAAAGUUUUGAAGAAGUUCAAAACGGAGCAGUCCAAGAAGGGGUUCUUGCCAGUGUUACAAGGUAUAAAGUUGAGUAAGACUCAGUGUCCGGUAACCGCGGAAGAUAGAGAAAAGAUGAGUAGCGUCCCCUAUGCUUCAACCAUCGGGUCUAUCUUGUAUGCAAUGUUAUGCACAAGACCGGACGUCAGCCUGGACAUAAGUAUGGCACGCAGGUUUCAAAGUAAUCCAGGAGUGGAUCACUGGACGACGGUCAAGAAUAUUCUGAAAUACCUGAAAAGGACUAAGGAAAUUUUUCUCGUUUAUGGAGGUGACGAAGAACUCGUCGUAAAGGGUUACGUCGAUGCAAGCUUUCACAUUGAUCCGGAUGACUCUAAGUCUCAAUCCGGAUACAUAUUUGUUCUUAAUGAGGGUGCGGUAAGCUGGUGCAGUUCCUAGCAAAGCGUCGUAGCAGAUUCUACAUGUCAAGUGGAGUACAUGGCUUCCUCGAAGGCAGCUAAGGAGGGUGUCUCGAUGAAGCAAUUCAUGACGGAUUUUGGAGUUGUGUCGAGUGCACUAAAUCCAAUAACUCUGUUCUGUGACAACACUGGUGCCAUUGCUCUAGCCAAGGAACCAAGGUUUCACAAGAAGACCACACACAUCAAAGGACGCUUGAUACGUCUCCAACGUAUCUAUAAUUUUUGAUGGUUCCAUGCUAUUAUAUUGUCUUCUUUGGAUGUUUUGCAUGCCUUUUAUAUAUUUUUUGGGACUAACUUAUUAACUCAGUGCCAAGUGGUAGUUCCUGUUUUUUCCAUGUUUUUGACCCUUUUUCAGACGGAGUCCAAAUGGAAUGAAACUUUACGAUGAUUUUUUUGGACCAAAAGAUACCCCCAAAGCUUUGGAAGAAGGCCAGAAGAGCCACGAGGGAGUCACAAGCCCAUGUUAUGCGGCCUACCCCCCUGGUCGCACCGUGCAGGCUUCUGACCUCCUUGUGGGCCCAACUGACUCAAUUCCACCGCCAUAAAUUCCUAUAAAUUCAGAAACCCCCAGAAAGAAACCUAGAUCGGGAGUUCCGCCGCCGCAAGCCUCUGUAGCCACCAAAAACCAAUCUGGAGCCCGUUCCGGCACCCUGCCGAAGGGGGAAUCCAUCUCCAGUGGCCAUCUUCAUCAUCCCGGCGAUCUCCAUGACGAGGAGGGAGUAGUUCUCCCUCGGGGCUGAGGGUAUGUACCAGUAGCUAUGUGUUUGAUCUCUCUCUCUCUCGUGUUCUUGAGAUGUCUUGAUCUCGAUGUACCGUGGGCUUUGCUACUAUAGUUGGAUCUUACGAUGUUCUUCCCCCUCUCCCUUCUUGUAAUGAAUCGAGUUUCCCCUUUGGAGUUAUCUUAUCGGUUUGAGUCUUUGAGAGCACUUGAUGUAUGUCUUGAACCUGUCUAUCUACUUUGAUCAACCUGCGGGUUUGUGACAAUUGGGAACCUAUGCAUAUGGUUGGCACACGUGGAUUCAUGUGAGUACUCGAUGUAUGUUUUGGUGAUCAACUUGUGGGUUCGUGACAUUGGGAACCUAUGCAUAGGGGUUGGCACACGUUUUGACUCUCCGGUAGAAACUUUGGGGCACUCUUUGAAGUUCUAUGUGUUGCUUGAAUAGAUGAUUCUGAGAUUGUGUGAUGCAUAUCGUAUAAUCAUGCACACGGAUACUUGAGGUGACAAUGGAGUAUUGAUACGUCCAUUUUGCAUCAUGCUUUCAUGUUGAUAUUUAUUGCUUUUUGGGCUGUUAUAUUACUUGUGGUACCAUAUUUAUGCCUUUUCUCUCUUAUUUUGCAAGGUUUAUUUGAAGAGGGAGAAUUCAGGCAGCUGGAAUUCUGGACUGGAAAAGGAGCAAAUCCUAGUCCACUAUUCUGCACAUCUCCAAAUGCCCUAAAAAGUUACGUGGAUUUUUUUGGGAUUAUAUAAAAAAUAUGGGGCGAAAGAACUACGGGAGGGGGGCUACCAGGGCGCCACAAGCCCUGACACCGCCACCCCCUGGUGGCGGAGUGGGGGCUUGCGGGUUCCCUGACGGCCCACUAGCCCCCCUCUUUUGCUAUAUGAAGCGUCCUGGUCCAGAAAAAAAUCAAUUAGGAGCUUUUUCGUGGUUUCGCCGCCGCCAUGAGGCGGAACUUGAGAAGAUCCAAUCUAGAGCUCCGGCAGGACGAUCCUGCCUGGGAAACUUCCCUCCCGGAGGGGGAAAUCGUCGCCAUUGUCAUCACCAACACUCCUCUAAUCGGAGGGGAUGCAUCUUCAUCAACAUCUUCAUCAGCACCAUCUCCUCUCCAAUCCCUAGUUCAUCUCUUGUAACCAAUCUUCGUCUCGCUACUCCGAUUGGUACUUGUAAGGUUUCUAGUAGUGUUGAUUACUCUUUGUAGUUGAUGCUAGUUGGAUUACUUGGUGGAAGAGUUUAUGUUCAGAUCCUUGAUGCUAUUCAUUACACCUCUGAUCAUGAUUAUGAUUAUGUUUUGUGAGUAGUUACUUUUGUUCCUGAGGACAUGGGAUAAGUCAUGUUAAUAAUAGUCAUGUGAAUUUGAUAUUCGUUCGGUAUUUUGAUAUGUUGUAUGUUGUCUUUUCCUCUAGUGGUGUUAUGUGAACGUCGAUUACAUAACACUUCACACCAUAUUUGGGCCUAGAGGAAAGCAUUAGGAAGUAGUAAGUAGAUGAUGGGUUGCUGGAGUGACAGAAGCUUAAACCCCAGUCUAUGCGUUGCUUCGUGAGGGGCUGAUUUGGAUCCACUAGUUUAAUGCUAUGGUUAGACUUUGUAUUAAUUAUUUUUUUGGAGUUGCAGAUGCUUGCGAGAGAGGUUAAUCAUAAGUGGGAUGCUUGUCCAAGUAAGGGCAGUACCCAAGCGCCGGUCCACCCACAUAUCAAACUAUCAAAGUAACGAACGCGAAUCAUAUGAACAUGAUGAAACUAGCAUGACAGAAAUUCCCGUGUGUCCUCGGGAGUCUUUUUCCUCCUAUAAGACUUUGUUCAGGCUUGUCCCUUGCUACAAAAGGGAUUGGGCCACUUGCUGCACCUUUGCUACUACUUGUUACUUGUUACUUUUUGCUCGCUACAUUUGACCUCACUACACCAUCACUUGUUACCGCUACUUUCAGUGCUUGCAAUUAUUACCUUGCUGAAAUCCGCUUAUCAGAGCCUUCUGCUCCUCGUUGGGUUCGACACUCUUACUUAUCGAAAGGACUACGAUUGAUCCCCUAUACUUGUGGGUCAUCGAGACUCUUUUCUGGCGCCGUUGCCGGGGAGUGAAGUGCCUUUGGUAAGUGGAAAUUGGUAAGGAAACAUUUUUAUAUUGUGCUGAAAUUUAUUGUCACUUGUCACUAUGGAAACUGUUCCUUUGAGGAGUUUGUUCGUGGUAUAUUCACCACGAACGGAAGCACGAGGAGUUUCUCCUCAACCUGAGGUACCUACUGAAAAUAUCUUUUAUGAAAUUCCUUCGGGUAUGCUUGAGAAACUGCUGGCUAAUCCUUUCACAGGAGAUGGAUCUUCACAUCCAGACUUGCAUCUGAUCUUUGUAGAUGAAGUUUGUGGUUUAUUUAAGCUUGCAGGUUUGCCCGAGGAUGUGGUAAAGAAGAAAGUCUUUCCUUUAUCUUUGAAGGAUAAGGCAUUGACAUGGUAUAUGCUAUGUGAUGAUACUGGAUCAUGGGGCUACAAUCGGUUGAAAUUGGAAUUUCAUCAAAAGUUCUAUCCUAUGCAUUUAGUACAUCGUGAUCGGAACUUUAUUUAUAACUUUUGGCCUCGUGACAGGGAAAGCAUAGCUCAAGCUUGGGGGAGGCUUAAAUCAAUGCUAUAUUCAUGCCCCAAUCAUGAGCUCUCGAGAGAAAUCAUCACUCAAAACUUUUAUGCUCGAUUUUCUCAUGAAGAUGUACCAUGCUUGACACUUCUUGUGCCGGUUCUUUUAUGAAGAAGGAUAUUGAUCACAAGUGGAAUUUAUUGGAGAGAAUCAAACGCAAUUCUGAAGAUUGGGAGCUGGAGGAAGGUAAGGAGUCAAGUAUGAAUUUCCAGUUUGAUUGCGUUAAAUCUUUUGUUGAGACAAACACUUCUAGAGAUUUUAGCACAAAGUAUGGACUUGAGUCUGAGAUAGUAGCUUCUCUAUGUGAAUAUUUUGCUGCUCAUGUUGAUCUUCCCAAAGAGAAGUGGUUUAAAUAUCAUCCUCCUGUAGAAAGCAACAUAGCUAAAACCAAUCUAGUUGAGGAGAAAGUCAUUGCUUUUAGUGAUCAUGUUGUUCCUUGUGCUUACACUGAGAAACCACCAUACCCUCCUAGGAUAAAGGAUUAUUCUAAAGCUCCGAUGAUACGUAGGGGUUACAUUAGACCACUUGCACCCCCUGAGGAGAUUAGAGUUGAACCUAGUGUUGCUAUUAUCAAAGAUCUCUUAGCCGAAGACAUAAAUGGGCAUGUUAUCAAAUUCUGCGAGGACUCUGCUAGAAUUGCUAAACCUCACGCGAAAGACAAACACGGACCUGUAGUUGGCCUGCCCGUUGUUUCUGUUAAGAUAGGAGAUCACUGUUACCAUGGUUUAUGUGAUAUGGGAGCUAGUGUUAGUGCAAUACCCCGUUCUAUAUAUGAUGAAAUCAAAGAUGAGAUUGCACCUGCUGAGUUAGAACCCAUUGAUGUUACUAUUACGCUAGCUAAUAGAGACACUAUCUGCCCUCUGGGAAUUGUGAGAGACGUAGAAGUCCUAUGUGGUAAGACGAAGUAUCCUACUGAUUUCCUCGUCCUUGGUACUGCACAAGAUAGCUUUUGUCCCAUCAUAUUUGGUAGACCCUUUCUCAACACUAUCAACGCUCACAUUGAUUGCAUUAAGCAGACUGUCACAGUUAGUUUCGAGGGUGUGUCUCAUGAAUUUAACUUCUCCAAGUUUGGAAGACAACCCCAUGAAAGAGAGUCGUCCGGUAGGGAUGAAAUCAUUGCUCUUGCCUCUAUUGCCGUACCUCCUACAGAUCCUUUAGAGCAAUAUCUGCUUGAGCAUGAAAAUGAUAUGCAUAUGGAGGAGAGAGAUGAGAUAGAUAAAAUUGUCUUAGAACAAUAUCCUAUUCUCAAGAAUAAUCUGCCUGUUGAACUGCUUGGGGAUCCUCCCCCACCAAAGGGUGAUCCUGUGUUCGAGCUUAAAUAGUUGCCUGAUACUCUUAAGUAUGCCUAUCUUGAUGAGAAGGAGAUAUAUCCUGUCAUUAUUAGUGCUCUCCUCUCAGAGCAUGAAGAGAAGAAGUUACUAAGAACUCUGAGGAAGCACCGCGCUGCUAUUGGAUAUACUCUUGAUGAUCUUAAGGGUAUUAGUCCUACUCUAUGUCAGCACAAGAUUAAAACCGAUCCUGACUUUAAACCAGUUGCUGAUCAUCAAAGGAGAUUAAAUCCUAAGAUGAAAGAGGUCGUUAGAAAAGAAAUAUUAAAGCUUCUGGAAGCAGGAAUCAUUUAUCCUGUUGCUCAUAGUGAUUGGGUAAGUCCAGUACAUUGCGUACCUAAGAAGGGAGGUAUCACCGUCGUUCCUAAUGAUAAGGAUGAACUAAUCCCACAAAGGAUUAUUACCAGCUAUAGAAUGGUGAUAGACUUCCGGAAACUGAACAAGGCAACCAGGGAAGAUCAUUAUCCUUUGUCGUUCAUCAACCAAAUGCUAGAAAGGCUAUCAAAGCACACACACUUCUGCUUUCUAGACGGUUAUUCAGGUUUCUCGCAAAUACCAGUUGCACAAUCUGAUCAAGAGAAAACCACUUUCACCUGCCCUUUCAGUACCUUUGCCUAUAGACGUAUGCCUUUUGGCUUAUGUAAUGCACCCGCCACCUUCCAAAGAUGUAUGAUGGCUAUAUUCUCUGACUUUUGUGAAAAGAUCGUCGAGGUUUUCAUGGAUGACUUCUCUGUUUAUGGGUCCUCCUUUGAUGAUUGCCUCAGCAACCUUGAUCGAGUCUUACAGAGAUGCGAAGAAACCAACCUCGUCUUGAAUUGGGAGAAGUGCCACUUUAUGGUUAAUGAAGGUAUCGUCUUAGGACACAAAAUUUCUGAGAGAGGCAUUGAAGUUGAUAAGGCUAAGGUUGAUGCAAUUGAGAAAAUGCCUUGCCCCACAGAUAUAAGAGGUAUACGAAGUUUCCUAGGUCAUGCUUGUUUCUAUAGAAGGUUCAUUAAAGACUUCUCUAAGAUUUCUAGGCCUCUUACCAACCUCUUGCAGAAGGAUGUUCCUUUUGUUUUUUAUGAGGAUUGUGAGGAAGCUUUCGAAAUACUUAAGAAGGCUUUGAUAACCGCACCUAUUGUUCAACCACCUGACUGGAACUUGACCUUGGAAAUCAUGUGUGACGCUAGUGAUUAUGCUGUUGGUACUGUUCUAGGACAAAGAGUUGAUAAGAAGUUGAAUGUCAUUCACUACCCUAGUAAAACUCUAGACAGUGCCCAAAGAAACUAUGCCACUACGGAGAAGGAAUUUUUAGCAGUCGUGUUUGCAUGCGAAAAGUUGAGAUCUUAUAUAGUUGACUCCAAAGUUACUAUUCACUCUGAUCAUGCUGCUAUUAAGUACCUUAUGGAGAAGAAGGACGCUAAGCCUAGGCUUAUCAGAUGGGUUCUCCUGCUACAGGAAUUUGAUUUGCACGUCGUUGACCGAAAGGGUGCUGAUAACCCUGUAGCAGAUAACUUGUCUAGGCUAGAGAAUGUCCUUGAUGACCCACUACCUAUUGAUGACAACUUUCUUGAUGAGCAAUUAAAUGUCAUCCGCACUUCACUUAGUGCAUCGUGGUAUGCCGAUUAUGCAAACUAUAUCGUAGCCAAAUACAUACCACCCAGUUUCACCUAUCAGCAAAAGCAGAAAUUCUUCUUUGAUUUGAGACACUACUUUUGGGAUGAUCAUCACCUUUAUAAGGAAGGAGUAGAUGGUGUUAUUAGACGUUGUGUGCCUGAACAUGAACAGGGACAAAUCCUGCAGAUGUGUCAUUUCGAAGCCUACGAAGGACACCAUGCUGGAGAUAGAACUGCCCAUAAGGUAUUGCAAACAGGUUUCUAUUGGCCCACUCUCUUCAAGGAUGCUCGUAGGUUUGUCUUGUCUUGUGACGAAUGCCAAAGAAUAGGGAACAUCAGUAAGCGUCGGGAAAUGCCUAUGAACUACUCACUUGUCAUUGAACCAUUUGAUGUCUGGGGCUUUGAUUAUAUGGGACCCUUCCCGAGUUCCAAUGGGUACACUCACAUCUUAGUUGCUGUGUAUUACGUUACUAAGUGGGUAGAAGCUAUCCCCACUAAAAAUGCUGAUCACCACACCUCUAUUAAGAUGCUUAAAGAAGUCAUUUUCCCAAGAUUUGGAGUCCCUAGGUACUUGAUGACUGAUGGCGGUUCACACUUCAUUCAUGGUGUUUUCCACAAGAUGAUAGCUAAGUAUGAUGUCAACCAUAGAGUUGCAUCUCCUUAUAAUCCUUAGUCUAGUGGUCAAGUUGAGUUGAGUAAUAGGGAGAUCAAGUUGAUCUUACAAAAGAUCGUCAACAGAUCUCGAAAGAACUGGUCUAGCAAACUCGACGAUGCACUAUGGGCUUAUAGGACUGCUUAUAAGAAUCCCAUGGGCAUGUCACCGUAUAAAAUGGUUUACGGUAAGGCCUGUCAUUUACCUCUUGAGCUGGAACACAAAGCUUAUUGGGCAAUCAAAGAGCUCAAGUUUGAUUUCAAACUUGCCGGUGAGAAGCGGUUGUUUGAUAUCAUCUCGUUAGAUGAAUGGAGAACCCAGGCAUAUGAGAAUGCCAAGUUGUUCAAGGAAAAGGUUAAGAGAUGGCACGACAAACGAAUACAGAAACGAGAGUUCAAUGUAGGUGAUUAUGUCUUGCUAUACAAUUCUCGUUUGAGAUUCUUUGCAGGCAAGCUUCUCUCUAAAUGGGAAGGUCCCUAUGUUAUCGAGGAAGUAUAUCGUUCCGGUGCCAUCAAAAUCGAUAACACGGAAGGAAAUUUUCCUAGAGUGGUAAAUGGGCAAAGAAUCAAGCAUUACAUCUCUGGUACUCCCAUAAAUGUUGAGACCAAUAUCAUCAAUGUCAUAACUCCAUAGGAGUACAUAAGGGAUGUUUAUCAGCAUGUUUCAGACCUUGAAAACGAAGAUGUAUCUGUUUUGGUAAGAAAUUGGACUCCGAUACUUUUCCAAUAGGAAAUUUCUUCCGUUUUGGAAUUUUUGGAAAAUUAGAAAAAUAAAAAGCAGUCUGUAGAGCGAACGAGGCGGGCACAAGCCCUGCCACCGCCCCUACCCCCUGGUGGCGGAGGGCAAGCUUGUGGGCACCUCAUGUGCCUCCCGGACUCCGUUUUCUUGCGGAGGACUCCUUCUGGCCCAGAAAAAAAUCAAUAUAUAGUCGCCCGAAGGUUUUGAUCUCCGUAUCGCGUAGUUUUCCUCUGUUUUCGUUUAAAGCUUGUUGUCUGCCGCAUAUUUAGAGCAAAGAUGUCUCAGGAAUCUGUUGGGGAGAAUGAUCUUCACCAAGUUCAUGAGGAAGUAGAUGCUGAUAUGAAAAGAGUAGAAGUCACGGAAUCUAGGGACCAAGCUACGGAGAAAACCCAAGCUAGGGAGGAAGUUCAACCUAUGUUCAACAUUGAAGACAUGGAAGGAGUAUAUUUUCUCCAACCCUUCCUCCACGUGCUGUCUCCAUCCUUGAUUGAACUCUUGAGGUUUUGCGAAACAACUCGUGCUCGCAAUAUUUCUCUUUCUCGUGAAGUUGUUUUGCUGGAAAACCAUGUCACAUAUCUCAAAGGUAUAAAUCAAAGAUUGAUAGCUCUCUUGGAAUCAAAGGCGAUAACUCCACCACCAUCACCACUAAAGGAAGACAACUAAGCAUUGGUAUGGGCAAUCCCCUUGGCUUCUGCCAAGCUUGGGGGAGUUGCCCUGGUAUCGUAUCACCUUUAUAUCUUUUGCUUUUACCUUUGUUUUAGUUCUUUCCUUUUCAGUUUUUAUUUCUUCUCUUAGAGGAAUAAGUCUUGUGUUUUUAGUUUGAGUCUUUUGCUUUUGUCUCUCUUCCGAUGUAUUUGAGCUCGCGAGCUAUAUAAUAAAGAGUAUCUUAGUCAAGGGCUUUGCUUUGUGCCUUGAUCAAAAGUAUGAAAAGAACGAUAGCAUGAAAGAUCAUGAGACGAUCUUAUGGAAAGUGAUAACUUCACUUGUGACACGUAUGAUGAUUGAAACUUGUUGAGAAUAAAUCAACAUAUACCUUAGUCAUUGUUGUAAUUAAUAAGAAGUAAUAACGAAAGAGAGGUUCACAUAUAAUAUAUCAUCUUAGACACUUUUUUACAAUUGUGAGCACUCACCAAACUAUUACAUGCUUAGGAGCAGAUGUUGGACAAGGAAGACAACAUAAUGAAUUGUGUUUGCUUGGUUCCAAACAAUGUUAUAUGAUUAGAGAUCCCUUAGCAUGUGACGAUUGCUUCCACCUUAUAUUAGCCAAAACUCCCGCACCAAGUAGAGAUACUACUUGUGCAUCCAUAAACCUCCAACCAGUUUUGCCAUGAGAGUCCACCAUGCCUACCUAUGGAUUGAAUAAGAUCCUUCAAGUAAGUUGUCAUCGGUGCAAGCAAUAAAAAUUGCUCUCUAAUAUGUAUGAUCUAUUAGUGUGUGGAAAAUAAGCUUUGUACGGACCUGUGAUGAGGAAGACAUAAAAGCAAUAGACUGCAUAAUAAAGUUCUUUAUCACAGGAGGCAAUAUAAAGUGACGUUCCUCCGCACUAAGAGGACACGCAUUCAAACCUCAAAAGCGCAUGACAACCUCUGCUUCCCUCUGCGAAGGGCCUAUCUUGUACCUUUACUUUUUGCCCUUGUAAGAGUCAUGGUGAUCAUCACCAAUUCCCUAUUUUUGCCUUUGUCUUGGCUACCGUCACAUGUUUGGGAAAGAUCUAUACUCAUAUAUCAACUUGGAGUUGAGUACUUAUGCUUUAUUGUUGUUGACUUUACCCUUGAGGUAAACCGUUGGGAGGCAAAACUAUAAGCCCCUAUCUUCCUCUGUGUCCAGCUGAAACUUUGACACCAUGAGUACCACGUGAGUUGUAACAAUUGUGGAAAACAAAAGAGAUGAUUGAGUAUGUGGGUUUGCCUUACAAGCUCUUAUUUGAUUCUUUCUGAUGUUGCGAUAAAUUGCAAUUGCUUCAAUGACUAUGGACUAUUGUUGGUGACUUCUCGGUAAGGUUUUUGCUUCAUGCUUUGCUUUGUGAAGGAAUUGUUACUUUCACAUAAGAAUCUUUAUGAUGUAUCGCUGUGUGAUCAUGAUGCCCUCAUGUCCGUAUUAUGUUUUAUCGACACCUUCGACCCUCAACAUGUCGACAUGUUUAGGGAACUUGGUUUUCGCUUGAGGACAAGUGAUGUCUAAGCUUGGGGGAGUUGAUACGUCCAUUUUGCAUCAUGCUUUCAUGUUGAUAUUUAUUGCUUUUUGGGCUGUUAUAUUACUUGUGGUACCAUAUUUAUGCCUUUUCUCUCUUAUUUUGCAAGGUUUAUUUGAAGAGGGAGAAUUCAGGCAGCUGGAAUUCUGGACUGGAAAAGGAGCAAAUCCUAGUCCACUAUUCUGCACAUCUCCAAAUGCCCUGAAAAGUUACGUGGAUUUUUUUGGGAUUAUAUAAAAAAUACUGGGCGAAAGAACUACGGGAGGGGGGCUGCCAGGGCGCCACAAGCCCUGACACCGCCACCCCCUGGUGGCGGAGUGGGGGCUUGUGGGCUCCCUGACGGCCCACUAGCCCCCCUCUUUUGCUAUAUGAAGCGUCCUGGUCCAUAAAAAAUCAAUCGGGAGCUUUUUCGUGGUUUCGCCGCCGCCACGAGGCGGAACUUGAGCAGAUCCAAUCUAGAGCUCCGGCAGGACGAUCCUGCUGGGGAAACUUCCCUCCCGGAGGGGGAAAUCAUCACCAUCGUCAUCACCAACACUCCUCUCGUCGGAGGGGAGGCAUCUUCAUCAACAUCUUCAUCAGCACCAUCUCCUCUCCAAUCCCUAGUUCAUCUCUUGUAACCAAUCUUCGUCUCGCUACUCCGAUUGGUACUUGUAAGGUUGCUAGUAGUGUUGAUUACUCUUUGUAGUUGAUGCUAGUUGGAUUACUUGGUGGAAGAGUUUACGUUCGGAUCCUUGAUGCUAUUCAUUACACCUUUGAUGAUGAUUAUGAUUAUGUUUUGUGAGUAGUUACUUUUGUUCCUGAGGACAUGGGAUAAGUCAUGUUAAUAAUAGUCAUGUGAAUUUGAUAUUCGUUCGGUAUUUUGAUAUGCUGUAUGUUGUCUUUUCCUCUAGUGGUGUUAUGUGAACGUCGACUACAUAACACUUCACCAUAUUUGGGCCUAGAGGAAAGCAUUAGGAAGUAGUAAGUAGAUGAUGGGUUGCUGGAGUGACAGAAGCCUAAACCCCAGUCUAUGCGUUGCUUCGUGAGGGGCUGAUUUGGAUCCACUAGUUUAAUGCUAUGGUUAGACUUUGUCUUAAUUCUUCUUUUGUAGUUGCAGAUGCUUGCGAGAGAGGUUAAUCAUAAGUGGGAUGCUUGUACAAGUAAGGGCAGUACCCAAGCGCCGGUCCACCCACAUAUCAAACUAUCAAAGUAACGAACGCGAAUCAUAUGAACAUGAUGAAACUAGCAUGACAGAAAUUCCCGUGUGUCCUCGGGAGCGUUUUUCCUCCUAUAAGACUUUGUUCAGGCUUGUCCCUUGCUACAAAAGGGAUUGGGCCACUUGCUGCACCGUUGCUACUACUUCUUACUUGAUACUUUUUGCUCGCUACGUUUCACCUCACUACACCAUCAGUUGUUACCUCUACUUUCAGUGCUUGCAGUUAUUACCUUGACGAAAUCCGCUUAUCAGAGCCUUUUACUCCUCGUUGGGUUCGACACUCUUACUUAUCGAAAGGACUAUGAUUGAUCCCCUAUAUUUGUGGGUCAUCAAGUAUCUAGGUGACAUUAGGGUCUUGGUUGAUAUGUAUCUUAAGGUGUUAUUCUAGUACGAACUCUUGAAUAGAUCGAUCAGAAAGAAUAACUUUGUGGUGGUUUCGUACCCGACAAUAAUCUCUUCGUUUGUUCUCUGCUAUUAGUGACUUUGGAGUGACUCUUUGUUGCAUGUUGAGGGCUAGUUAUAUGAUCCAAUUAUGUUAUCAUUGUUGAGAGAACUUCACUAGUGAAAGUAUGAACCCUAGGCCUUGUUUCCACGCAUUGCAAUACCAUUCGUGCUCACUUUUUUUACUAGUUACCUUGCUGUUUUUGUAAUUUCAGAUUACAAAAACCUAUAUCUACCAUCCAUAUUGCACUUGUUUCACCAUCUCUUCGCCGAACUAGUGCACCUAUAAAACUUACCAUUGUAUUGGGUGUGUUGGGGACACAAGAGAGUCUUUGUUGUUUGGUUGCAGGGUUGCUUGAGAGAGACCAUAUUCAUCCUACGGCUCCCGCGGAUUGAUAAACCUUAGGUCACCCACUUGAGGGAAAAUUGCUACUGUUCUACAAACCUCUACACUUGGAGGCCCAACAACGUCUACAAGGAGAAGGUUGCGUAGUAGACAUCAAGCAUUUUUCUGGCGCCGUUGUCGGGGAGGCUAGGUAAGAGGCACUAACAUCCCGUCAACGAAGCAUUUUCGGGGAGGUUAGCGCUUGAAGGUAUAUCUUUAGAUCUUGCAAUCGAAUCUUUUUGUUUCUUGUUCUUUAGCUAGAAAACUACCAAAAAAUGGAAUUGAGGAUGCCUCAUAUGCUCCAUCUUUUUAAUGUCUUUCGUGAGCAUGAUGGGAAGGAAAAUUGUGCUCAAGUGCUGAAAUAAGAAUUACAUAGAAUGCUUGGCAUAGAAUAUGUGAAUGAUGAGCAUGAUUGCAAUGUUGUUAGCACAAAUUCUUUGAAUACCCAUGAUGCUAAUGAUAUGCAAAGCCACAAGCUUGGGGAUGCUAUAUUUGAGGAAGAUGAUCUUUUUAGUUCUUCCACUUUGAAUGAUCAAAAUCAUUUUGAUGAAAGCAUGCCCCCUAUCUAUGAUGAUUAUUGUGAGGAUACUUAUGCUUUGAAGAAGAGGGAUGAUAAAUAUUGUCAUACUUUCGAAAACCCCUUUGCUAAACCUUGCUUUUUCGUUGUGGACACAAUUUGUAGUGCUCAAGUCUUUUACGAUACUCCCACUACUAUUCUUGAGAAUAGAUUUCNNNNNNNNNNNNNNNNNNNNNNNNNNNNNNNNNNNNNNNNNNNNNNNNNNNNNNNNNNNNNNNNNNNNNNNNNNNNNNNNNNNNNNNNNNNNNNNNNNNNGCUAUCUUGCUUAAGGGUUAGGGAUGUGACAACUUUGGAGUUGGAGGGCUUCUUCAUCAUCAUCAUCGUCCCUCCAAUGACUCGUGAGUAGUUCACUUCAGACCUACGGGUCCGUAGUUAGUAGCUAGAUGUCUUCUUCUCUCUCUUGGAUCUUCAAUAGAAAGUUCUCCAUGAUCUUCAUGGAGAUCUAUCCGAUGUAAUCUUCUUUGGCUGUGUGUUUGUCGAGAUCCGAUGAAUUGUGGAUUUGUGAUCAGAUUAUCUAUGAUAUAUAUUUGAGUCUUUGCUGAUUUCUUAUAUGCAUGAUUUGAUAUCCUUGUAAGUCUCUCUGAGUCUUGGGUUUUGUUUGGCCAACUAGAUCUAUGAUUCUUGCAAUGGGAGAAGUGCUUGGUUUUGGGUUCUACCAUGUGGUGACCUUUCCCAGUGACAGUAGGGGCAGCAAGGCACACAUCAAGUAGUUGCCAUCAAAGGUAAAAAGAUGGCGGAUUUAUCAUUGGUUUGAGAUUAUCCCUCUACAUCAUGUCAUCUUGCUUAAGGCGUUACUCUGUUCUUAUGGACUUAAUACACUAGAUGCAUGAUGGAUAGCGGUCGACGUGUGGAGUAAUAGUAGUAGAUGCAGAAAGUAUCGGUCUACUUGUUUCGGACGUGAUGCCAAUAGAAACAAUCAUUGCAUAGAUAUCGUCACGACUUUGCGCGGUUCUAUCAAUUGCUCGACAGUAAUUUGUUCACCCACCGUCUACUUGCUUUCAUGAGANNNNNNNNNNNNNNNNNNNNNNNNNNNNNNNNNNNNNNNNNNNNNNNNNNNNNNNNNNNNNNNNNNNNNNNNNNNNNNNNNNNNNNNNNNNNNNNNNNNNGACUAGGUAUUCGAACCCCAUACAUAUCAAGUAUGACACACGUACGCAUGGCAUACCGAUAUGUAUAGAUUCAUCGAUGGCAUCACAACAUAACCAUAAACAUACAACCUUUAUUCAAGAGGCUCGGAAGAGCCACACACAUAAUAUUACACAUUAAGGUCUCUCGACCCAUAAUAGCAGUCAUACAAAUACAAGCCAGCGGAAGAGUUAUAGACUGUCUGGGUACAGACAAUGCAACUAGAAGGCACAUGGCCUGACUAUACUACAGAGCCGACAUAGGGCCAGAUCGUAGCUGGGACACCAGCUACUCGUCGUCGUCGAUGUCUACGAAGAACCCUCCAUUAGGGUCAUUAGCAACCUCUGCAACAUUUAUUAAGCAAACAUGAGUACGAAGGUACUCAGCAAGACUUUAGGAGAACUAACUACUCAUGCAAGGUAUCAAAAGGUAUUGUGGGGUUUCAUGCGGGAAGCCAGCAUUUGACUCGUGGCUAGACAACUUGCAUUUUGAAAUUAGUUUUGACAACUUGAUUUCUCGCACACGAGUCCACUAACACCACAGCAAUACACUAUCGUGGAAUCAUUCCGUCUCCAUACGGAAAUGCCGUCCACGACACUCACGCUUAUCUUGCCCAUUUUAUGAGUAGCCAUUGAAGUUAUCUAUGAACAACAUAUGUCUCCAAGUAGUCCAUAUCCGCGGACGCGGCUAUUCGAAUAGAUCAUAACCCUGCAGGGGUGUACUUCGUCACACACGCUCUCGCCACUUAUCGCUAUGUGCACGUCAUGCACCUCGGCAACCUUCAAGCGGAAGCCCAGCGAGGGAGUCGGCCACGACCGUUAACCACACCAGUACCUAGUCCAGGUUUAUCGCCUAUCUGAGAGUAACCCGUACGAAAGUCCGGCCGGGGAUUCCGCCACGGCCUCAAACGAUGUGCGCAGGGUUCCCAAGCCCACCAUCCAGGUGCCACUUGGUACACCGUGCCACUGCCUACCGCAUCACGGCCCACCUCUCAGGUCAGCACCAUGCACGGCCUCCAGCAUUACUAUAAACACCAGAAACUACUUGCAACUCCUGGACCGAGUACUACGCGAUUAAUAGGCCGAGCGGGGUCAUAUUUCAGGGCCCAGCAUGUGGUAGUAUCUAGUCUUGGAUUACAUACACGGAACUCAGUUCCUAAGGACGGUUCCAAUGAAACAACCCGCCAUGUACUCCUACACAGCCUUUCACCGGCACCUUUACCAAAUCAAGUUCAACACACAACCUUUGCUCACCGAAAACAUUCCACAUUUCUGUUCAUCUCCCAGAUGACAGACCAUACACAACUCUAAGCAUAUCAUGCAUAGCAGGAUAAGGCACAUCAUAGCUCAAGCAACUACCAGGUAUGCUAGGUUGCAAGGUUCGGCUAUUUACUGUGACAAGGUUAGGUCAUGCAAAGGAAGUGGGUUCAACUAUCGUGGCAAAAGCAGUUGUAGCAUUUGAUCCUAAUGCAAUAAAUAAAUGCAGGAGCAAGAACAUGGGAAUUAUCGGGAUGAUCAAAAGGGUUGCUUGCCUUGUUGCUCAGAGGAGGAACGAUAUCCGUCAGACGGAUAUUCGGUGGAAUCCGGGGGUGCGGAGCCUACCGAAAUGAAUGGCAACAUUCAAUAACAAUCAUAUGCACUCAAAAUGAUGCAUGCGCAUGGCAUGAGAAUGCAGGGUGAUAAGUUAUUAGUUUCAACAUGUAAUAGGUUUAGAGUUGAUUUGAAUCACAUUCGAAUAGCAAUUCAAACGGGGUAUUCUCGGAUACCGGUUUAAUUGAUUCGACCUGAUGCUCAGAUCAACUUGAUGUUAACAUGCAUGAAAUGUCAUGUUAUGGUACUGAUUUGUAAUUAGGGCAGUGUGUGAUCAUUGCAUAUAUAAUGAAAUUUGAAUNNNNNNNNNNNNNNNNNNNNNNNNNNNNNNNNNNNNNNNNNNNNNNNNNNNNNNNNNNNNNNNNNNNNNNNNNNNNNNNNNNNNNNNNNNNNNNNNNNNNUGAGUACCUUCGUACUCAUGUUUGCUUAAUAAAUGUUGCAGAGGUUGCUAAUGACCCUAAUGGAGGGUUCUUCGUAGACAUCGACGACGACGAGUAGCUGGUGUCCCAGCUACGAUCUGGCCCUAAGUCGGCUCUGUAGUAUAGUCACGCCAUGUGCCUUCUAGUUGCAAUGUCUGUACCCAGACAGUCUAUAACUCUUCCGCUGGCUUGUAUUUGUAUGACUGCUAUUAUGGGUCGAGAGACCUUAAUGUGUAAUAUUAUGUGUGUGGCUCUUCCGAGCCUCUUGAAUAAAGGUUGUAUGUUUAUGGUUAUGUUGUGAUGCCAUCGAUGAAUCUAUACAUAUCGGUAUGCCAUGCGUACGUGUGUCAUACUUGAUAUGUAUGGGGUUCGAAUACCUAGUCGUGAACUUUAGUAGCACUCCUUACAAGGAAAUGCCCCUUUGUGAUCCAACGAGCCUUGGUAGUCCGCUACUGCUCCGGACACAUUGGUUGACCGGCAUGUGUCCUUCUUAGCUGUUGUGUCCGUCCUCUUUGGGGAAAUGUCACGCGACGUAAUGGAGUCCUUGUAGCUUGCUACGACUCGUCUACGUUCGCUGAUGACCGACACCUGCUUUGUUGGGUCAUGUAUGCCCGUCCUUGUGCGGAACUGCCACUUUGAUUUAUGACUAGACAUGUCGAUGCGGGUUCUUUGACAUUGGAUUGCUAGCGACACCUAUCGCAUACGUGAGUCAAAAGACGCAAACGGUCCCGGCUAAGGUAAAGCUGCAGCCGUGGAGUUAACCGUGCGUGAGACCACAAAGAGAUGCGAUGUGUUACAGGCUGGAUUCCUAUGGCUUAGGAUCGGGGUCCCGACAGCGUUGGUAUCAGAGCCUGACUGACUGUAGGAUUACUAAGCCAAACUGGUCAAAGUUGAGUCUAGAAUUGCUUUAGUUAUAUAUAAGGGAAUUGUUUGUGGAAGGGAACGUAAGACUCUUGUUCUCUUCUCAAGUUAUUCUAUUCUGGUCAUCCUCGUCUCUUCUGCGGGAAUUAAGGACUAGGUUACUCAUCUUCUCCUAGGCUCGUGUUUCCAAUCGGUAGCUUAUAGGACUACGGGUCGAGAGAUAUUGGGUUUCUUUUAUUCCUAGGAAGCAGGAAGUAAGUUUGGUGACCAGAGAGUUGAACUUGAUAGUUGAGUGGUUACGCUAUUCCAUUUUGGGUUGUCUCAAAUUUGUUUUGAGCAUUUACAGCCGUUAUGCUGCCCAAUUUUGCAUUCAGAGCUCUAAUGCUUUUGCAUUACUCUCUAUUUACAGAUGUCUGGCCGUCCUUCCCGUCAGGUGGUACGUCUGACCAGGUGCAUUGAUGUACCGGGUCAUACGGCCAUGCUGGUCAGGGUGAUGUCGGUGUGCGGUUACCGCUGGUACCCCGAGUACACAGUGGAGGAACAGUACCGGGACUUCAACCAGAGCCAGUACAUCUGCACUGUUAGGGUAUUCCUAGACUACCCUGGAGCGGAGAAGCCAAUCCAUUGGUCCUAUGGGUUGGGGGUCACCGUUGACAUGGGAGUACAAGAUGCUGCCUAUUCAAUGCUGACUAUUAUGAGAGCGAGACAUGCACUGCUGCAGAAUUCAGAGUUCUGCUAUGUUCCGGCCUCUCAGUCUGGUGAAGAGGGAUACCUCAGUGGACUCUAUUUUGAUUCUUCUAUGGAGGAUCCACUUCUGCAGACCACUGUUGAGAUGCUAGAGAACAGAGACAACGAUGCUCGUGCUCUCCGCAUGGAGCUUUAUGCUACUCGUGCCCGUCUGUGGACAGCUUUGACGCAGCUAGCACCGGUAGUCCAGACAGGGUAUGGAGAGAUGGAGAUGCUGAACCCUGUUAGGACCCAUCUUCCGGCUCACGUUGACUGGCCAGCUAUAGGAGGAGUCACACCUCUUCGGAGACCCCUCUUACCACCAGUCAGGGGACCAAGGCCACAUCCGUGUCCUUAUGGAUCCCAGGGGUCUCAGGCUAGAGUGUUUCCUGAUCCGCAGGUUGAGCUUCCAGGUCAUGGAGGUAAUCUCUAUGAGAUGUUCUAUGCGGAUGCCUGAGCUGUGAGCGGAAGGAUAGUAUGGUAGUAGUCGUACGUUCAAAGUCCUGCGUGACUUGUGAAGUAUGGUAGUAAUGUGAAAUGAAUUCCAGAGGCCUAGAUAAAUAAUGUAUAGGAAGCUUGUAAGCCUCUGAUGAGUAGUUCCACCAUUUCAGUAGUUUGCUCUUCGGGUAAGUUUGUACUGAACUAUGUAAGGGUGUGUAUGAACCAUGGUGUAUAUAUAGCAGUUGCUUGUUACCAUGUUGUUCGGAUAUUCAUUUCCGCAUUCCGUGUGUUCAGUACAUUCUUAAUCCAUAGCUAGUAUUGAUAUGAUAUUGGUCUAAGCUAUGAGUUUGUUUGUCAGGAUGGUGUUCACCAGGUUGAACCGUGCCCCUGCUCAUGAGCAAGGUGAGGGUAGUCAAGCGUCGCAGGAAGACCUGCCUCACCCACCUUCUCUGGUAGAAGUGAUGCUUGAGGCAGAAAGAAACAAAAGGGAGACCAACCGACUGCUAGAGCGUAUUGAGCAGAAUACGGNNNNNNNNNNNNNNNNNNNNNNNNNNNNNNNNNNNNNNNNNNNNNNNNNNNNNNNNNNNNNNNNNNNNNNNNNNNNNNNNNNNNNNNNNNNNNNNNNNNNUGCCCCAACGGCUCCCCCACGCGGCGCGCCCCGUGGGCAUCGUCGUACUGCUCCAGCUGUGGAGCCGCCCGCACCGGCCUCCCCCGCAACGGGGGAAUCGCCGAUCCCGGAGGCUUCUCCGCUAGUUGCCCCGGGCGUCUCGGCCCCGUCUCCUGCACCACCGGGCCCCGCUCCUGUCGGCACGACGCCUCCACCACCUGCUGCCCCCGUGCCCAGUACGGGGCCGGCCUCUCCCUCAACUGCCCCACCUGCUGCCCCCGUACACUUCGGAGUGCUUACCCGUGCGCGCGCGGGUGUCCAUCGACCCAGCCAGAGGUACUCCUCCAACGAGUACGUCUGCACUGCCACCACGACGGCUCCUUCGCCGCUCCCUGCGUCCGUCCACUCGGCGCUCCGGGACCCUCACUGGCGCGCCGUCAUGCAAGACGAGUACGACGCGCUACUGAGGAAUCGCACCUGGCAGCUGGGUCGUUCGCGGCUUCCGGCAACGGGCUGGUCUCGACUUGUGACAGCCCAAGUGCAAUCUCCCCUCCCCUUUUGUAUCCUCCUUGUAUGGCAACCUUGGCAUGUUGGUGUGAUGUGGGGUGAGCCUAACUUUGUGUCAUCAUUUCAUGUGCAUCAUGCCUUCUUGCAUUGCAUUCUUUCCCUUUUGUUGUGGUUGUGUUGAUGUGGGUGUCCUUGUUGUGAUGUGCAAGUGUUGUGUUGAUGUCCUUAGUGAUUGUUUAGGUGUGGGGGCAACAAGUGCAUGUCAAAACCCACAUGUUGCUCCAUAAGGAGAAAACCCUUCUCUCUCUAUGUUAAUUUGUGGCAGGUUUAAAAGGCUUUGUUUCUCCAUUUAAAAAAAUGUUCAUCUUUCCCUAAAAAAAAUCCUUUUCAUUUUGUGGAGGCAACCCCUCUGGUUUCUACUUUACUUUCCUUCUUAUCUUAUUUAAAAAAUCAAAGCCCAUUUAAAUUAGAUGAAUAUAAUUUUGGACUUCUAAAAAUGUUCCACUUAUUUUUAUAAACAGUGGCAACANNNNNNNNNNNNNNNNNNNNNNNNNNNNNNNNNNNNNNNNNNNNNNNNNNNNNNNNNNNNNNNNNNNNNNNNNNNNNNNNNNNNNNNNNNNNNNNNNNNNGGGGUUGUCAAUCCCUUAUAGAUUGUUUGCCAAGUGAGAACUGAAAGCAACAAAGUAACAAAUCAAAGUAAAAGCGGAGGUGUAAACGAUGGAUGUGAAUAGACCCGGGGGCCGUAGUGUUUACUAGUGGCUUCUCUCAUGAAAGCAAGUAGACGGUGGGUGAACAAAUUACUGUCGAGCAAUUGAUAGAACCGCGCAAAGUCGUGACGAUAUCUAUGCAAUGAUUGUUUCUAUUGGCAUCACGUCCGAAACAAGUAGACCGAUACUUUCUGCAUCUACUACUAUUACUCCACACGUCGACCGCUAUCCAACAUGCAUCUAGUGUAUUAAGUCCAUAAGAACAGAGUAACGCCUUAAGCAAGAUGACAUGAUGUAGAGGGAUAAUCUCAAACCAAUGAUAAAUCCGCCAUCUUUUUACCUUUGAUGGCAACUACUUGAUGUGUGCCUUGCUGCCCCUACUGUCACUGGGAAAGGUCACCACAUGGUAGAACCCAAAACCANNNNNNNNNNNNNNNNNNNNNNNNNNNNNNNNNNNNNNNNNNNNNNNNNNNNNNNNNNNNNNNNNNNNNNNNNNNNNNNNNNNNNNNNNNNNNNNNNNNNUCACGAGUCAUUGGAGGGACGAUGAUGAUGAUGAAGAAGCCCUCCAACUCCAAAGUUGUCACAUCCCUAACCCUUAAGCAAGAUAGCAUUGUGCUCAUGUCUUCUUUGCAUUUGCAUCUAAGAAGUUUCAACAAAAACAACAAAGUGGCAAAGGAAAAACUCAAAACCCUAGCCACCAUUUCAAAUUAAAGGAAAUCUCAAACUAGUUCAAAAUCAAUGAACCCAAAAUGGCCUCAAGAAAUGUUCAAACUUUCUGAUAAAUCAUGAAAGUAAAUGAGCAUUGGAGAAAACUAUUUUCUUGACACUUUAAGCUUUUUAAAUUAAUGCAAAAGCCACUGGUUUCAAAUUUAAAAUUUGAAAUCAGAAACUAUAAUUUUCCAAAAAUGUUGAAAACCUUGGAAAUGGUUGGGGAUAUUAUAACAAAUAUUUCAGGAGGUCUAAAAUAGUUUUUACUUUUUGUUUUGGAGCUGAAUUAAUUAGCAAAACAAUAAUUAGCAAAACAGAAAAACAAAAACAGAAAAAUAAGGAAAAACCUUACCUGUCGCCUAAGCCUGGCCCGGCCCAUCCCUGGCUCGUCCCCUCCCUCGCACCAGUAGGCAGCAGGAGGUGGUCGCCGCCCCCUCCGGCGCGGCCACGCACCUGCGUGCCUGCCUGGCCGCCGCCUCGCGCUGGCGACGACGGGGAUAAGCUCCCCAGAGCCUCCCCUAUCCAUUCCCCGCCUCGGUUCUCUUCCUCCACCCGGAUCUCUUCCUCCUCCCCGCUGCCGCCAUUGGAGCCGAGCUCGAGCUCGAGCUGCCCGUGCCCCUAGCCUUAGGAUCCCCUCCCAGAGCAUGCCAUUAGCGCCGCCUCGUCGCCCUGGUCAUCUCUACAGAAGCCGAAGCUUCCUCGAGCCCUGCAACGCCCGCAACGCCGUCGUCUUCCACCUCCGGCCGCCGGACCUCUCCCGUCGAUUCGCUUCCUCCGGCGCAUCCCCGAGCCCCUCUUCAGCACCAUCGGAACGGCCGUGAGCUCGUCGUCGUUUCCCCUCUCGCCCCACGCUCUCCCGUGCAUCGUAUCCUAGUUCCCCACCAAGGCCGAGAGCUUCUCGCCGCCGGCCAUGUCGCUGUCGUCGUUGUGAUGACUGAUCCACGCGCCCGAGCUAGGAUUCGAGCUCCUGGAGCCUCCAGGAGCGUGCCGAGCCCUCCAGCUGCCCUCCCCGUGCCCUAGAACCGCCCCUCAUAGAAGGCCGAGCUUCGGCCGCCGCUCCGGCUCAUCGCCGACGCCUCUUCCGGCGACCCUAGCCUCCCCAGAUGGUCCUGCCAGAUCGGCCACUUCGCGAGCAUGCUGUAGCUGCAAACCGCGUGCGUUUUGGUGUUGUGCAGCGCCGUCUAGGUCGCCUCCGGCGAGCCCUCCGCCGCGGGCCUGGUCGCCGGCGACCACCCUCCGGUGGGGGUCGACGUGGCAAGCUAACCCAGCAGCUUAGGGACCUAAUCACUCGCUGACAAGUGGGCCCAAGGCCAAGUCAAACCUCAGUUAGGGCUGGUCAGCGUGGGAUUAGUCCCAGAGAGGCUGUCCAGUGGGGCCCCCCUGUCAGGUUUGACCUGAACAAGUCGGCUGACCUGCUGAUGUGAGCCUGAGGCAAUAAAUAGAAUUUCCAGUAUAAAACUAAUUCAGGAAAUUGCUAAAAUNNNNNNNNNNCGGGAUUAGUCCCAGAGAGGCUGUCCAGUGGGGCCCCCUGUCAGGUUUGACCUGAACAGGUCGGCUGACCUGUUGAUGUCAGCCUGAGGUAAUAAAUAGAAUUUCCAGUAUAAAACUAAUUCAGGAAAUUGCUAAAAUUUGUAAAAAUCAUAGAAAUUAAUCUGUAACUCCAAUGAAAAUAAUUUAUAUAUCAAAAAGUAUCAGAAAAAUUCAAGGAUUCUGAUUAUGCUAUUUUCAACCAUGUUUAAAAAAGUUACAGAACCCUAAAUUGUGGAAUAAGGAAUAAUUCAAUUCUUUUAAUCACUUUAUAAAUGGAAUUUGCAAAAAAAUUCAAAUUUCAUUAUAUAUGCAAUGAUCACACACUGCCCUAAUUACAAAUCAGUACCAUAACAUGACAUUUCAUGCAUGUUAACAUCAAGUUGAUCUGAGCAUCAGGUCGAAUCAAUUAAACCGGUAUCCGAGAAUACCCCGUUUGAAUUGCUAUUCGAAUGUGAUUCAAAUCAACUCUAAACCUAUUACAUGUUGAAACUAAUAACUUAUCACCCUGCAUUCUCAUGCCAUGCGCAUGCAUCAUUUUGAGUGCAUAUGAUUGUUAUUGAAUGUUGCCAUUCAUUUCGGUAGGCUCCGCACCCCCGGAUUCCACCGAAUAUCCGUCUGACGGAUAUCGUUCCUCCUCUGAGCAACAAGGCAAGCAACCCUUUUGAUCAUCCCGAUAAUUCCCAUGUUCUUGCUCCUGCAUUUAUUUAUUGCAUUAGGAUCAAAUGCUACAACUGCUUUUGCCACGAUAGUUGAACCCACUUCCUUUGCAUGACNNNNNNNNNNNNNNNNNNNNNNNNNNNNNNNNNNNNNNNNNNNNNNNNNNNNNNNNNNNNNNNNNNNNNNNNNNNNNNNNNNNNNNNNNNNNNNNNNNNNAGACACAACAGCUAAGAAGGACACAUGCCAGUCAACCAAUGUGUCCGGAGCAGUAGCGGACUACCAAGGCUCGUUGGAUCACAAAGGGGCAUUUCCUUGUAAGGAGUGCUACUAAAGUUCACGACUAGGUAUUCGAACCCCAUACAUAUCAAGUAUGACACACGUACGCAUGGCAUACCGAUAUGUAUAGAUACAUCGAUGGCAUCACAACAUAACCAUAAACAUACAACCUUUAUUCAAGAGGCUCGGAAGAGCCACACACAUAAUAUUACACAUUAAGGUCUCUCGACCCAUAAUAGCAGUCAUACAAAUACAAGCCAGCGGAAGAGUUAUAGACUGUCUGGGUACAGACAGUGCAACUAGAAGGCACAUGGCGUGACUAUACUACAGAGCCGACGUAGGGCCAGAUCGUAGCUGGGACACCAGCUACUCGUCGUCGUCGAUGUCUACGAAGAACCCUCCAUUAGGGUCAUUAGCAACCUCUGCAACAUUUAUUAAGCAAACAUGAGUACGAAGGUACUCAUCAAGACUUUAGGAGAACUAACUACUCAUGCAAGGUAUCAAAAGGUAUUGUGGGGUUUCAUGCGGGAAGCCAGCAUUUGACUCGUGGCUNNNNNNNNNNNNNNNNNNNNNNNNNNNNNNNNNNNNNNNNNNNNNNNNNNNNNNNNNNNNNNNNNNNNNNNNNNNNNNNNNNNNNNNNNNNNNNNNNNNNAAGACAUAGAAACGUAUCAAUACCAUCAAAACAUAUCAAUAUAGACAUGAAAUCUAGUUUCAAAGACCUCGUCACAGCAAAUUUAAUGAUGGAAAUAGAUUUUUAAUUUGGCUUUUCGUUUAAGGGAUAAGACAUUUUGAAUUUUGAGAAAAUGAUGUUUACAUCAUCUACAUUUGUUUUCACUUGCAUGUAUGCAUGGAUGCCAUUCCGCACUUUCCCUCGUCAGGGACUGUUCGCCCAUUAUUACAGUCGAAAACUAAAACAAUGAUAUGUACUCCCUCUGUUCCUAAAUAUAAGUUUUUUAAGAGAUUUCAAANNNNNNNNNNNNNNNNNNNNNNNNNNNNNNNNNNNNNNNNNNNNNNNNNNNNNNNNNNNNNNNNNNNAAUGAUAUGUAAUUACAUACUCUUAAAAAUAAUAAUUAAAUAAAAAGACAAUCCUUGGAAAUUACCAGUCUAGUCUUAUUCUAAGACCUGACGAAACAUUAUUGAGUACCCGUCAUAUACAAGAGGAUUCGCUAGCAAAGGACUAUCAGAAAGGUUCAGGCAAUCUGCUGCCCAGGUCAUACACGAUUAUUCAUCAGGUUGGACACAAGCUAAGCUGCUUUCCUUCUGGAGAGUAAUUUGAAAAACUGUUCAAAGGCAGGGUAGAAUGAUCAUCCUUCGUGAUACACUAAACUGGAAACAAAAAACUCAGCUCGAUGCAUUUACAUGGACAGAAAUCGAAGUAUGUAACGGGUGAAGCUACCAUCAUGCCUCCAGGUCGUUCAGGUUUCUCGGAACUUUGACAAAAAGUUUUGAAACGAAGAGAAACCUUCCAUCGCAUCGUGCGGCAUGUUAAGCGUGAAAGGGGGAAGAACACUCGGACCAGCCUUCAGGUUCUUCGGGCCAGCGGCUGACGGUAGCGCAAGUGCAGGCUGCUGUCUGUUGAGCUUUUCUAUGAUGUACGAGAAAGUUCCAAAAGCCAGGCAGCUCUGAAUCAGAGUUUGCGGUGCACCU